UUUUUUUUUUUUUUUUUUAAGGUAGCUUUAUGGGGUACUCUUUCUGACUUGUCCAUGUAAUGGGGGUCCAUCGAUGACUCCCAACCAAUUAAGGUUUAGGGCACCAAGUUUUAAGGAUCUUUCAACCACUAACUCCUCGGAUUUUUCCCCGGACUUUUAAGAAUGAAUUUCUAAUACCCAAGCAUCUACCAUAUGCUAACUCUACCUAUUCACCCUUGUAACGAGCAUUGAGGUCGGUGACUCCCAACCAAUUAAGGCUUAGGGCACCAGGCUUUAAAGAUUUUCACCAUAUACCCCUCAGACCUUGCUCGGGUUUCAAGGCAAGCAAACAAAUUUCUUUAUUUCAAAGGCUCAUUGGCCUUUUGCAGGGUGUUUCAAUUUUUAUCAAAUGAGGUCAAAUAUACCAAGUCCCAAAAAUAUACUAAGUCAAGAGGGAAAUAGCUUUUCAUCUUAUAAUCGGAAACUAAUGUGCACAGUGUGUGGAUAGCUUAAAGUGGAAGAACUCAAUUCAAUUACAGUAGAAGUUUCAACAAUUGAACUACUUUAGUAAGCAUAAUCCAUACUCUAAGUCAAGUGAAAAACAACAGUUCAAUUUCUCUUGGUUUAAUUUUGAAAAUUUUCCUCAAAAUUCAUGGAGAAUAGAGUAACAAGAGUAAAAAGUAAAAUCUACAACUAAUUAACCAAUAAUUGCAAUACCAAAAAGAUUUAGCAUACUUCCUUCCUCAUACCCCCCAACCGAACUGAGCAUUGUCCUCAAUGUGAUUUGAGUGACUGUAAUAAAAGGGAGGAAGUGGUACCUCCAUGCUGAUAUCAAAUUCGAAUAUUGAUUGGGGAAAACCACAUGUUUCAAAAAGAAUAGAAUAUGUGAGAAAAGGAAAUAAGGAGAAUUUAAUGCUAACUUUUAACAAGAAAUAUUCAACUUGUAUUACUUUGAGUUCAUUUGAUUACGAUGCUAAAGACAAGUAACACAAGGAAUCCCAUAUAUAGUACCAAAAUACUGGGAUUUCUUUUCAACUAAAACAAAACAAACAUGCAUAAAAACAUAAACAGCAAAUAUAUAUAUAAUGUCUGAUGAGUGGGGUGAUGGUGCUAGGCAGAAGGAUCUGCCUCUUCAGUAGGUGGAUCAGCUGGGGUUUCAGGCUCUGGAGCUUGAGACUCUGAAGGCUGAGAGUGUGGCUCUGGUGGAGUAGGAAUGGAGGGCUCUACAGCUUGUGGCAGAUCGAAAUGGACUUGAAGCUGCCUUAGGAUGGCAACUUGUUGAGCCUGAGAGGCUAACAUCUGCUCCUGGCAUGCUUUGAUGGCUGCCAACUCCUGAGCAAGAUUGCUCUGGGAAGCUGUAAGAGUCUCCAAUGCUCGGCACAGCUCUCGAUAUUCGGAUAUAGGGAUGGCCAUCCUAGGCUCAGCAGAUGUGGAUGGCUGUGAUGGAGCAGGUGCAGCUGGUGGAGCUCGAGGGAUGGCAGGAGUAGCAAGUGUUAUACCUUCAGGUGGAUGUCUUGGGGAGGCUCUCCUUGCUGCUGGCUGAGGCUGCCCAGGCUGAUCAAUUUUGUAGGCCGUCAUAUUAUUCCAUUUAUCAAGGGUAAAUGGCUCACGGCAUAUUCUCUUUCUUUCCUGCUGAGGCUCAGAGGGGUAUCCGAGAUGCUCCAAAACUUGGCAUAACAGCCUUGGGAAGAGGAGUGGAAUGCAAUCUGCUCUUUGAAGCUUCUUCUUGUGAACCUUCUCCUCAAAGUAGAGAAGGGCUGCCAUGAUCAGAUGAUGAGGCCCAAAGAAGAAUCCUUCAGACAUCUUGUACAGGGCUUCUAGGAGAAUUCCCCUUCUUUGGGUCCAAUGCUGCAGGGGAUAGAUAUUAUGCCUCAAAAAGGCAUCAAUCAAAAACAUCACUGGAGGUAGCUCCCCCCUCAGCAGGUGUGACCGAUUUGCAGCUCCUCUAGUUAGGGUGCUAACCAUCUCUAACUCAGUAGGAUUUGUCCAAGCUUUAAAAUUGUCGAAUUGAGUUGGCUCAAAAGGAAUUUGCAGGGCUUCAGCAAUAUGUCUUGCUCCCAAAAUACCAUGCCUUCCAUCAAUUAUGAAAUGGAUCAGAGUUGGAUUUCUUACUUCUUUGGUUGUCAUGGUCUGGUAGAAGUCCGUGACUACCCGAGGAUAGAAAAAAUCCCUUGGAGCUAGCAGAUGCUCCAUAUGAUAUCUCCUCAGCAGCUGGAAUGAUUGGGCAAGCUCUGGCCUCACUCUAAAUGCUGCUAAGUCGAAGCAAAGCUCAGAAUGGAAUGCCCGAGUUCGGCAAUCCAAGUUUCCUUCGAUUGGGGCCUGGGGCAGCAUUGGCCUUCGGAUCACUUCUUCCAGAGGUGCUUCAGCUGCAAUUUGGGGCUCUGGAAUUGGCGCUUGAGGCUCCUGAGCUUUUUCUUGGGGUGCCGGAGAUUGUACCGGCGAUGGAAUUGGAGUUGCUUCUGGUGAGGGAAUUGGCGAGGCUACCGGUGACGACACUGGAAUUUGUACCGGUGAAGGAUUUGGAGAUUUCUCAGGGGAUUGCUCAGUCAAAUCGAUUGGUUCAGAGCUCUCAACCCUGGCUUUCUUCUUCAAUGGCUGACCACCUGACCUGGUUAAAUAUCGCCUUGCCGGCGGCUUUGGUAGCGCCGGCUUCACUGGAGGAGGGUUUGGUCUCGACGGCGAAGGCUUUGGAGCAGGUUCUGGAACAGAACCUGGACUUGGCUCCUUUCGCAGACUCCUUUUGCGGUUCGAAGGGGAUGACGACUUUGCCCCUCGCGUUCGUGCCAUUUUGGAAUACCGAAACUUUGGCCGGCGCUGCUGAACGGAGAAGACGACCGGAGACACGGACGGCGCGGCUUGGCGAAGAAGAUGAAGGGGCUGCGAGAAUGGUGCUCUGAUUUUUGAAACCCUUUUCGCAGCACUUUUGGCCGGUAUAAAUAGGAAAAAACGGAAGCCCAGGGGUCAGUUUACGUUUCGCAACAAAACGCCAAUUUCGCAGCAACUUGCCAUUUUCGCAGCAACUUCGCAGUGAGUUUCGCAGUUGCGAAAUUGAUGUCACUGUGUUGCGGAGUGGCACUCGUGUGCCAAAACCACUUUCGCAAUUGUGAAAUGCCCUGCGGAAUGGGACUUUUGGUGCGAAAUCACGCUUUUCCAUUUCGCAAUGAGUUUCGCAGCUGCGAAAUGGGUACUACUGUACUGCGAAGUGGCACUCGUGUGCCAAAUUCACUUUCGCAGCUGCGAAAUACCUUCGCAGAGGCUUCUACAGUGCUGCGGAAUGGGUUGGCAACAAAACGCCAAUUUCGCAGAGGUUUCCUUCACCCUGCGAAAUUUCGCAGAGCUCUGUUUUUCCCCUGUUUUUGCUCUGUUUCGGCUCCAAUUUCGACCCGAUUUUUUUUCUUUUCAAUCCCCUUGAAAUUUCUUCCGCCUGGGAUCAUAUAAAACGAUUAAAACACACCUAAAAACAUGAUUUAAGAUCAAAAACUAAGAUUAAAAGCAUAGAAACAACUUGAAAAUUUACAAAAUUUACAAAAAUUUUGGACUGUGGUUAAACCACGUCCAGCAAACCCAUUUCACUUAGGCUUUUUGAGGCUCAAGGAGGUUGAUUGCCCCCUUUUCUGAUUUGAAUGACUCCAUGAACGGCUUAAGACGAUAUCCAUUGACUCUAAAGCUGUCCUUGCCAUUGGAAUUCAAUAAGUCCACCACUCCAUUGGAAUAUACUCGGUGAAUAACAAAUGGACCAAUCCACAUUGACUUAAGCUUCCCAGGAAAGAUAUGGAGUCUUGUGUCAUACAUCAGAACUUUUUGCCCUUCCUGAUUCAGUUUGCCCGGAUCCCAUUUGAAGCUUGCAUCCUUCACUUGAGACUUGGUUUGAGAUGAAGAUAUUACGACAGGACAUUGAUUAUUUUCUUCAAGGUAUGUGUAUUUCAGCUCCAUAGGUAAAUGCUUCAGAUUGAGUUUUGGAAUUUCUUUUUCAACAGCUGCCUCCUCUUCUUCAUUGAACAGAGGUAGAAUUCCUUCUAUCUUUCUCCAACUGUGUAGAGUAGCAAGCCCAAUAGGAGAUUCAGAAAAACCUUCCUCAAUAUCCUCAAGACUUUCAUUCAACUUAUCUUGCAUAUGUUGAUUGCAGUGCUCCUCCACCAAAGUAUCAAUAAUACAUAGCUCUUCUGGACCCUCUUCUUCUUCUGUAGUGAUUUGCUUUUUAGACAUAUAGAAAAUAUUUAGAUCCAGUGUCAUAUUACCAAAAGUGAGUUGCAUAAGCCCAUUUCUACAGUUGAUGAUUGCAUUUGAAGUAGCAAGAAAUGGCCUUCCAAGGAUGAUAGGAACUAAAUUAGCUUCCUUUACAGUAGGAUCAGUAUCAAGAACAACAAAAUCUACAGGAUAGUAGAAAUUAUCUACUUGAACCAAUACAUCCUCAAUUACUCCUCUUGGAAUUUUCACUGAUCUAUCUGCCAAAGAUAAAGUGAUUGAUGUUGGCUUCAACUCUCCAAGUCCCAGUUGCUUGUAGACAGAGUAUGGAAGCAAAUUCACACUUGCUCCCAAGUCUAGCAAGGCUUUCUCCACUACCUUUCCUCCAAUCAUGACUGAAAUGGUAGGACUUCCAGGGUCUUUGUACUUCAAAGGAGACUUACACUGUAAGAUUGCACUUACUUGCUCAGUCAAGAAGGCUUUCUUGUUUACAGUCAACCCUCUCUUGAUAGUACACAAGUCCUUUAGGAAUUUUGCAUACGUUGGAACUUGUUUGAUCAUAUCCAGCAGUGGAAUAUUAACUUUCACUUGUCUCAAUACUUCUAGGAUUUCAGCUGCAUUUCUAACCCCCUUUUUCCCCUGUAAUGCUUGAGGAAAAGGUGGAAAAGUUGAUUUCUUCAGCAUUUCUUCCUUCAGAAGCUCCUUCUCUGGAAUUACUUUCAUUGUUGCAUCAGAGUCCUUCUUUUCUUCACUGAUCUCACUGCCUUUAUCUUCCAUUUCCUUCCCUUUCUUUAUCUCUUCUUCUUUCUCAACAUGUGGCUUGGGUGUUGGCUGCUCAAUUUUCUUACCACUCCUUAGAGUGAUCAAAGCUUUCACAUCUUUCACCUGUGAUGAUUCUCCCUCAAGGCUUUCCACUUCAUGGACACCUUUGGGAUUUUGGUUAGGUUGAGAAGGAAAUCUUCCCUUUUCUUGCAGUGUAUUCAAAUUUGUAAGCCUUGAAAUUGAAUAUUGGAUGUUAUCAAACUUUUGAUUCAUAUCAUUUUGCAUUCCAUCCAUUCUUUUGUUCAACAUACUCUCCAUUCUGUCCAUUCUUUGAUCCACUCUGUCCAUUCUUUGAUCCACUCGAGCAUUGGUGGCUUCUUGCUUUCCCACAAAAUCUCCCACUACCUUGCUGAGAUUAGCUAUUAUUUGUUCAAUACUUGAAGAUUGCUGAGUUGGUGGAUCCGGCUGUUGGUAUUGAGUUGCUCUGGCCUUCCAUGAGAAAUUUGGAUGAUUCCUCCAACUUGAAUUGUAAGUAUUUCCAUAAGGAGCAUUGUUAUUGGGCCUGAAUUGUCCAACAACAUUUGCUUGAUCUCUAUACAUUUCCCUUUCAACUGAAAUUGCAGGGCAUUCCUCUACCAAAUGUUCAAACGAUUGACAAUUGGGACACAACUUCACUUGCACUGGUGCUUCAGCAACAGCUUGCACUUCAUGCAUUCUUUUCAGCUCCAGCUCCUCCAAUCUUCUUGUCAUAGCUGCCAACUUUGCUUUCAUGUCAUCAUCUUCUUUUAAAUUAUACAUCCCAGCCUUUGCAUUGUAAGCAUUCAACUGAGACUUCAUCNNNNNNNNNNNNNNNNNNNNNNNNNNNNNNNNNNNNNNNNNNNNNNNNNNNNNNNNNNNNNNNNNNNNNNNNNNNNNNNNNNNNNNNNNNNNNNNNNNNNCUCUGGAAUGUAUUACAAACAUCUUCAAAUUCCUUGAUGUGUGCAUACGGAUUCUCACUUUCCAUCCCAUGGAAAGUUGGUAGAAGUGGAACAAGAUAUGGUCUGAUCACUAGCUGCUCUGUAGGGGGCACUAUACAUGAUGGUGCACUCAUACGAGGUGGAUGCAUACGGUCCCUCAUUGAUCUGAAUUCAUUGAGAUUGUCUUGACGACCUUGGUGACUAUGCUGAUCUUCAGGUGCAGCCUCCAUGAUAUUCAAGAUUACUUCCAAUUCUCCUCUCUGAGGUGUAUCACACUUAACAAGCCUACCUCCAAUGUCUCGUAUCCACUUGGGCAUACACAACUAGUAUUCAGCUGCAACUAAAAAAAUGAAAACAGAGGACACAAAAACAGAGGACUACAAUAGCAAAAUUAAACUAGACUAAAAUUUAAAAAGAUAAACUUAGAUUAUAAAUAAACAAAGAAAGAAUGAAAAUUAAUAAAGUGAAAGAAACUUUACCAACUUGUGAUGAAAAUCACAAGUGCUCAAAAAUGGUAUCACAAUGAACUUGACACUCAUUCCCCGGCAACGGCGCCAUUUGACUCAUGCUCAAUUGGUGUCUCAGCUGAUUUGUGUUCAGCUGGUGCUCCUUGAUUGAGGAAGUGAUCAACAAAAUUUAUACCUAUAACACCAUACACUAGGGUAGCAAAUACAAAGCUACUAUAGUAUAGUGGCUCUAAGGAUCGUUCACUGGGAAUGAAUAAAUUAACAAGCAGUCAAGGAUACCAAUUCCAAGUGAAUUGGUUUUGUUUCAUUUCACGGUUAGUUUAAGAAAUAAAACACAAAGUUUGAUUGGUAAAGGUUUAGACUUAAACUACCUAACUUAACAGAAGUUUGGAAUAAUUUAGGAAGAAAAACAUUCCUUGGAGAUUUAGGUUCACUGGGGUGGUUCCUCAUGCAAAAGACAUAGCUCCGGUCAGAUGGUUCAUUUCCUCGCAUUAGAGAUUCAACUUAUAGUCAAUUCUCUAACCGGUGAUGUACAGAGACUCCUUCAAUUAGAUUUCACUUUAAUUCUCUCACUGAUACAACUUGCAAUGGUUCAUGCCUCUCACGAGCACUUACCAUUCAAGGUGAUCUUUAACCUUGGACUUCCCUUCACAAACUCGCAAGAGAUAACUAAUGGAUGUCUCCUAGGAGUCCAAAAGCUUACCAAGUGUUGGUAAUUCCAGAAAAUCCUACCUUGAAGUCACCUACCAGAGGCUCGCAAGGGGUAAACUAGUGCAUUUCCAUGGUUGGAAAUCACUUGCCUUACCAAGUGUUGGCCCAGGUGACUCUAAGGUGUUUUAAGUUAACUAAAAACAUUGAAAUCACUAAAGGAUUUCACUUCCUCUUCAUUAAAAACUAAAACCACAAAGCUUUGCAUUUUUGCACUUGGAACCUUCCCCGGCACCCUUAGCUCCAAGGAAUUGGAGGUUUAGUUACUCAUUCUCUGGGGAAAACUCCUCAGAGAAUUCAUAACUUAGAAAUAAAAUGAAAAUACAAAGUGAGAAGGUAAGGCAGUAGAAAGAAAAGACUUUACUUGCUUACCAAAUGGUUUUCAGAAGGAACUCCUCUCUGAGAACAUGCUCCCGAGAGGUAUUUAUAUCAAAGCAAUAUAAAACUAAUUAUUACAUAGAUAUUUGGUCUUUUUACUAACUUAAAAACUAAGGAAUCAUGUAAUUGGUGGUUUACAAGGAGUAUUUUGGAAUUUAGACAACAAAAAUCUAAUGGAAAAUAUCUCCCAAUGUCGGUAGCAAGCUUCGGGAGGCUUCCGGAGCCAUUUCGCAGGAGAAAAGUGAGGUCUGCGAAAUUUCGCAGACACCCAAGAGGGCUGCGAAAUUAUUUCGCAAGACCGAGCUAUCUUCACCAGGCUGCAAAGUUGGCUUCCAUCUUGAAGUUUCCAGCUCCCUUCUCGCGGCAUGGUUCGUGCAUCGUCAGAAGGAGAAACACCUUACUGUACAAAAGUGUUGCGAAAUUCUCGCAACAAAAGGCUGAUUCCGCAACACUUUAGAGUGACUGGCUUGUAAUGGCUGCAACUUCUUCGUUUCAACUCCGAAUCAUGCACCGUUUGAAGCAUUGGAUUGUUGACUUCCUGAGCUUUGAAAUGGUAUAUAGCUUGCAUCAUUUGGACUUCAGAAAGUGCUCCAAAAGUGGCUGCUACGACUGUCAUCAAGAAUAUGCUCCAUGACUGAUCCUCUUUGCUUUUUCUCCUUGCAAUCCGGAUUCACUCUUGGCAAUUGAAUUCUAAGCUUUGCCCAAGAUUCCUCAUAGCUCUCCUCAUUCUUGACUUGCUUUGGUGAUCAAAAUACUAACAAGAACACCAAAACUUACACAAAGUGAUCAAAAUUGCUUUAAAGGAUCCUUAACAUGUCAAUUGAGUUAAAAGGCCUAAACUACUACUCAAAAGUGUUAAAAAGGAUUAAUUAAAGGCUAUCAAAUAGCACUUUUUGAGUAGUAAUCAUAUGCCAAGCCCUCCCUUGGCCUGCACUCCUUAUAACAUGCCUCACCAACUUGUUGUAGCAUCUCUAGGCAACCUACUGCAUGUUGUCUAUGCAACCCAUGUGUGUGUCAAGCCCUCUCUUAAUUAGCCUACACCCCUUAGAACAUGUCUUACCAUCCUGAUGUAGUGUCCUUAAGCAACCUAGUGCAUGCUCUCUAUGCAGCCUUUGAGUGUGUCAAGCUCACUCGUGGCCUACACACCUCACAACAUGCCCUAUCAACUUACUAUGUGCAUUUCUAGGCCCUUGUUACUCCUUGAGCAUGCCAACCAGUCAUACUCAUGUGUUCCAAUCACAUCUCUGCCAAGGCAAGCUACUCAUGCAUCCCUCUUAUUGUUGAUAUGACUCCAUGUUUUGCCCAAACCCUCUUCUUAGUGCAACAACAAGUCAUAACAUUGCACCCAUGACUUUUCAUCUUUGCACAUAAGGCAUUGUGCCAAGCAUUAAAUGUCAUGUUUAAGUCAGCAUCAUUGAUGCCACAUCGCCAUGCCUCACCCAAGUUCAUUUUGGUGUUACAACAAACCAUGACAUUAUGUACAUGGCUCAUCAAGCUACCUCAUUGCGCAAGGCAUUACAUCCUUAUGCUACCAUUAGAAAUGAAGACUAUGUCGCACCUCGUGUCAUUGUGGCCAUGGGUUACACACCACCAUGUGUCAUGAAGCCCAUGCAUGGGUGCUACAAGACUUAUCCCAUGUGUCUUGCUCAUGUAAGCACCUAGGUGUGCCCAUGUCACCUUGUCUUUCUUGAGUUAGGUUCUUCUUCAAAGAAAAAAUACCGACAUGCCAAAAUUCAACCCUUGAAUUUUGGCCAAGUUAGGCUCAUGUCGCUUGUUUCCCUCAAUAGGCUUCAUCUUACCUUACCUUGAUCAUAGGCCACUCAUAGAGCCAAGGUGUCGUCCUAUGAGGCCUUUGUGUCGCAUACUUUGAGUCAAAGGGCUAACAAUAGACCACUAAAAGAUUUGAAAUUUUCAACAUAAACUUAAUGAGCUACCACACAUUGUAACUAUGCCUUGUGUUUCUUUUAAACUAACAUUUAGCAUAUCAUGGUCUUGAUACAAAAAUCCCUCGUCAUUAAGUUAAGAGUUGGUAACAAUGAGGUUCAACAAGGCCUAAUUGAUCUUGUUAGUUUAAUUGACCUGUUUUAGAAGUCAGCAUAAUGUCACAAAAUGCUUCAAAUGAUCCUCCCCAUGGGCUUAUAUAUCGGAGCAGGAAGUUUUUAAGACCCCUGGAGACAUCCACACUUAACUACAAGGUGGAAGAGUGUGGAAGCUUCUAGAGAAGGUUAGAGAUGUCCACACAUCUCCACACUUGGGUAGGAGACCAUUGGAAUAAUACGGGGUGUUCUAAAGUCUUCCAAAGUCAUCUUGUACAUAAAUUAAUGUAGGAGCUUCUAGAUUAUUCUUGAUUUGUAAGGAACUCAACAAGGUUCUAAAGACUUCCUAAGGUGCCUAUAAAUAGGUGAGACCCUCAUUUGGCCAAGGCACCAAGUAAACGAGUUUCCUAAGCACUUAUAAAGCAUCCUUAAGAGCAAUAAAAGCUUCCAUUUUUUUAAGUGUUUUCUACUAUACCUUCUAAAGCUUCCAAGUCGUGUAGAUCUUAACCUAACAAGUUAAGCGUCGGGAGUAAGAUUGACUUAAUAAGAUCAAGUGUCUUGGCUUGUCUUAGUAUCACACGAGCUUAGGGAAAUACUGGGUCCAUAACAAUAAUUACAUGUGAAUAUCAUAGAGGGAAAGGUAACAAUACCCAAUCUAUACCCAUUGGUAGGCUUCAAUGGGAUACCCUGCAAACCAUUAGGUGAAGUCACAUUUCUCGUAAAAUGAGGACCCGUUAUCUUGCACACACGAUUUUCGAUCAUGAAAACAUCAUAAUAGGAAGGUGUUAGAAAAAUUAGGCUAUUAAUCAAAUCUAUGGUAAUCGCCUUAAAGAGAGGGGGGGAGGGGGGUGAAUAAGAUGAUGGUCUCUUUUUGUAAAUUUAAAUUAUGUGAAUGCAAAAGAUAAUUAUAUGCAAAUAUAUAAUAAAACAAUAUAAAAAUAAUUGCAUAUAAAUUAAAAUAAUAGGGAAGAGAGAAUACAAACACAAGAUUUUUAUAGUGGUUUGGCGCAACUCGGCCUAUGUCCACUCUCCUCUAACUUCAAUCCCAAGCUUAAGGCUCCAAUAUUUCAAGGCUUCCAAACCAAACCUUCAAACAAUACAAUUGGAUUAUGGUUCUAGUCCACCAUCUUGGACUUUUGACUUCAAGCACCCUUUACAAUCCUCAAGAGAUACCCACUCUUGAACAACCUCUCAAAAGAUACCCCACACUUGAGAAUUCUAAAUUGAUACCUCACACUUAGAUUCUUCCUCUCAAAGAUAUACAAAUAAUUUCACAAAAUCCUACUACAAAACUUUAGGCUCAAAUGAUGUAAAAAAACUAGGAUUGAAUGAUGCACUAAAGAUAUGCAAGUUUUAGAACAAUUGUGCACUAAAAAACACUCUCCCAAGACUCAAAUAUAUUCAAGAAAGAUUUAGGAAGGUUAAGCUCAUGAAACAAUAAAGAUUGGAGUUUUUUUAUAGAAGAAAACAACCAAACUAGCCGUUGGGGGUUUGACCGAUCGAGUUGGGGGUUGACCGAUUGACUAGCCGUUAGCAUUUAAUGUUUGGCAGGUGACUGUUGGACCUCAACCGCCUCUUGACUGGACCUCAAUCGGUUGAGGCUCAACCUCAAUCGAUUCAGGUUCAACGUUGAUCGAUUGAGGUUUAACUUUGACCAAUUGAACAAUUGUUCUAGAAGAGAGAGAAGGUUUUUUGUACCUCUCGACCAAUUCAGCUGGGGGUCGACCUAUUCCUAGACCGGUUGAGUUAGGGGUCGACCUAUUCCUCGACUGGUUGAGUUAGAGGUCGACUUAUUCCUUGACCGGUUCAAUCGGUUGAGCCAUUUUUGGCUCAACAACCAUUCUCUUCAACUUAAAACCUUUUAAACAAGUUUGGAAAACAUUUGACACAAGGUUUUAGUUGAAAACAUGAAAUCAUCCAAUUUUAAAGGAUUUAAAACGAAAUAACUCUUGGAUGAUUUUGGUGCAUAAGUAAAGAAUGUAAUGCAUGAAAAAAACCUAAUGCACCAACAACCUUACAAAGAGAUCUUAUGAAGCUUGGGUCUUAAAAAGAACUUCUCUUUGAAGUCUUCUGACUGAACUUCUCUAUUGUACCAAAAUACUUAGUCUUUUUAUGUAGUAAUUUUGGUCAAGAAAAACUAGAAAAAGAGUCACUACGAAUUUUGUAGUAUUCCGGGUAUCGUUCUCAAUGACUGGCUUAUGGAAAUUGUCAACACUAGAAUAAUUGAAUUGCUUUCUUUUAAAUCUUAAAGUGAAAAACAAUAUGAGAAUAAUGUGAAACUAAGUAAAAGAAAUUAAAUUAAUAACAAAAUGGAUAUUGAUUUUAAAUUCGAUUGAUUUAAGUUUGGGGUUUUCCACAAUCCAACCUAGGGUAUAGAAAUUAGAGAAAACAAGGGUCUUUUAAGUAAUAUGAUCUUAGGGUUUUGGGAUCCUUAGCUGCUCGCGAUCAAAUUGAGUUCUAUAACUCAAAAUUGCAUUCGAAACCUAAUUUUUCAUUUUUAAAACAGAUUUCUACAACCAUCAAAUGAAUGAAAUUGAUUACCAAUUUAAGAUUUGACUUUUUAACCCUUCCUAGUCCUUAUAGUUUUGUUUUGGGGCAAAUAACGAUAGGGAAGAUGAGGAUAACUAAUGAUCAAGAAUUACCAAGAAUCACUAGUAUCAGGUAAUAACCUACCGUAUCAUUCCCUAAACGAACUCACAAGUAUAGGAUUAAAAAAAAUGAUAAAUUGUCACCCAACCAAUAAUUAAUCUCAUUGUUAUAAUAAUUAACCCAUUGUCCCUAUAAGUUUUCUACCCCUUAGGUUUUCAUACUUUAAGCCCGAAGUUGGUUCUUAGCCUCUCAUGGGGGUGAUGUCACAUUCACAAUCCAUAAUAGGGUAAAAAUCCAUAAUUGAAUCAAAAGAACUUAAACAAUAUUUUUAAUAAAGAAUAAAAAGAAAACAAACAAAAGUUUUCAUCUUCUUUCAUCUUCAAUGUCAAACUCUCCGGAAAAAAAAUUCAAGAUCCCUAAAACUUAGAAUUAAGAAAGUUUAUAUAAUAUCAUCAAUUACCUAACAUGUGACACACUCUCAUUGACCACUUAUUACAAAAUAAUUUCCUAAAAAUGAUUAAAAAAAUAAUAAAAUUGUGAUUUCUAGCCGUGUAGGGUCCACUUAGGGCAGAUGGAGUACCCUAUAUGCAAUUCCCGAGGUAGAGGAGGCGAAACAUCAAAGUGGUAGUGGGUGAAUUCGAAAUUGGUAUCAUUUCGAAGUGAAUUUCGAAUUUACAAGUUGGAUUUCGAAUUCAUAAGUUGGAUUUCGAAAUCAUUUCGAAAUGACCCUUCAGCUUGGUGCAGUUAUCUUCCAAUGGUCAUAACUUCUUCAUUUCAGCUCCAAUUUGCACAUCAUUUGAAGCGUUGAACUUUUGACUUCCCGAGAUUCAAAAUGAUAUAUAGUAUAUAUAAAAUAGACUCUGGUAAGUACUCUAAAUUUAUCCUCAAAUUCAAAGUGUAUAUUACUACCAGAUUUUUGAGUUCUAAAUUUCCAUGUUGCCAUGUUUUCUUGCUUUCUUUCUUACUUCAUAAUGGUCAUUUCUCAUCUUUUAAACUCAUGAUAUCCUCAUCUUGCCUUUCCUUAUGGUCCAUGAGUCUUGACUCACUUAUUUCCUCAUUUACCCCUUUCUUAAUCUUUCAAAAUCUAAAGUGAUUCAACUUGCACCAUUUUCUUCCCUUGAACCUGAGAUAAGUUUUCAAAGUACAAAUUAAACUCAUAGCUAGGGUCUUAGCAUUGAUUUAGGUCAAAUUAUGUGAUUUGAAUGUCCUUUGGUGCACAAAUCAUAUCGAAUAUGUGUCAUUAGAGCAUAUAUUUUGGCUCUAAUCAUCUUUUUUUUCUUAUUGAUUUCUCUUUGGCUUAAUUUUGUCUUUAUGAUUGCCACUUUGGAAAUCUUUUUGCCUAAUCACACUUGAAAUAUAAUAUUAGUUACAAACCUUGUUUUGUUAUCAUCAAAACUGAAAUUAACCAAACCUUGGUUUCACAGAAAGCUUCAUAGCAUGUAGACCACCUUGUCAACCUAUAAUCAAGCCAUUAAUUUCCCUACAUACACCGUAAAGGAUAUAGGAAAUAUACGACAACCAAGCCACAAUGCAUAUGUAUUGUCAUAUCACCACUAAUAAUUCUAAAGGCUCUAAGAGUUAAGAAACUUAGGAAGUUACCAGUUGUGGAACCCCUAGAGUCUUUAGCACUAAUGGGAGAAAGGUGCAAGAAAAGUAGUUAUGAUUUGUUCCCUCUUAUCGUGCCAUGAGAAAACACAAAUGUGGCACUUGCUCAAGGAGUUCAAUGAUGUGUCACUUGAGGCCCCUUAUGAUAUGCUAGGGAUAGAUUAUGAGUUGCCUGUCAUCACUUGAAUGUAUUACGACUAGAUGAUUAAUUAUGUAAAAACCACUAAAAUUCACAUGUGAGAGACAUCAAGUAGUUAACAAAUAAGUGUUAGGGCUCUUACAAGCUAGUUUUAUACACGAGGUAUUAUAUUCAAAGUGGUUGGUGAACAUGGUAGUAGUGCCCAAAAAGAAUGAAAAAUGGUGAGUAUGUGUGUACUACACUAACCUAAAGACUGCUUGCCAAAGGACAGUUGCCCUCUCUCAUGCAUAUAUCAAUAGUAGUGCACCAAUUAUUGACAUUCAUCAAUACUUAUUUGGGAUAUAAUCAGAUUUGGAUGGACACAAGUGAUAAAGAGAAAACUGCUUUCAUAACAACAAAAGACGCAUUUUGUUUUAAAGUUAUGUCAUUUGGCAUAAGGAAUGCAAAUGCCACCUAUUGGACGAUGGUUAAACAACUCUGUUGGCAAUAGUUAGGUUAGACUAUGAAAGUAUACAUAGACAAAUAAUCAAAAGCAAUAACAUUAGAGACCACUUCUAAUACCUGGUAAUGUCCUAUAUUUUACAAGAGUAGUAAAUGAAGCUCAACCCGGCUAAAUGCACCUUCAAGGUAGGGUCCAAAAUGUUUUGAGGGUAUAAAAGUAAAGCCGAACUAACCAAAUAAGAAUUGUCCUUGAGAUGUCGAUGCCCCACAUCAUAGGGGCGCCACAAGGCUCACUAGGAAGCUCGUGGCAUUAAGCAUAUUCAUAGUAAGGACAAUCGAUUAAUGGAAACCCUUUUUAAGGUAAGGAUAGGGGGCAUAUGAAAAAGCAUAUGAACAACCAAAGAAAUGCGUCAUCCAUCCAUCGAUUCUAGCUAAACCCAAGUGAGGUCGUAUUGCUAUACCUAGAGGAUUGCUCAAUUCUGAACAGUAGAAAAGGGAGGAAUGUGGAGGGGCUUUCCCGUUCAACAGCAACAUGUGGGCCUGUUCAACAGCACCAACUGGCCUGAGGAGACCAUUCGAACCCCCUCGCCAUCAUAAGCAAAUAAAUCAGAACUUGAUCACAGCAACCGACGGUCAGUUGCACUAAUUAUGAAUUUAAUGUGCAUUAAUUGCAUACAAUGUGGCACCGUAAUCUUGCCCUUUCCAUUGACCAUACCGUCAUGUGGGAAAUCCAACUGCUCUCAUGGUCAGUACGUAAUAACCUUCUACUGACUUGAACAUUGAAGCCCUCGCUGAACAGCAAGGGGAACGAUACUAACAAUUUUACAUAUGAUAUAUAAAAUAUAUGUGCAUAGUGUGGCAUUUGCAAUCAAUGCACUUUGAGAUGGCCCAACUUUAGUUUAUAGAAGCCACAUUAACUUUUACUUUAAUUUGGGACAUACCGUCCUAUAAUCAGUCAUUGAGGGAGAAAAAUUGUGACCAAGCAACAGGAUUACUCCUCCAGAAGCAUCCUCCAUCGUGAGUUUCCUAAACGUUAUAUAUCUCAAGCUGCAAUCCAAUAUUUGGAUGGCCUCAAAUAAAAGCAAAUCAAGGCAUGCAAAGAUUGGGACUUGCCCGAUUGGAUAUGGCCAUCAACCUUGUUUGAUUUAAUUAGCAAAUCAUUAGUUACUCAAACUAUAAAUUAGAUGGAGCCCUCAAUUUUGAGGUGUAUUUCAAUCAAGAAAUUUUAGAAUAUUAAUAGAGACAGAUCUUAGUGUUAGAGAGAAUUCUUGCCCAAUCACUAUGGGGUUUAAUGAGUUGAAUAAAUUAGGAUAUCUAUGAGUAGACAGCAUGUCCCCAGAAGCCUUAGUGCCCAAGUUAAAGACAAGAAACAACUAGGAAUAUACCUAAGAGAAGCUCACCUUUUAAAAGGGCCCUUUGUUCCAUUAAGGGGUAAAGAAUUAAUACUCUUAUAUACUAAUUCUCUCCACUAAACUCAUGAACAAGACCCCUGAAAUUUUGUUCUUUACUUUUACAAAAUCUUCUAAAUUACUUUGAAUUAUGUAGAUGAUUAAUUAUAUGCAAUAUUUUAAAACAACAUUAUUUUAAUAAUUCUUUUAGAAAGUAUAAUUAAGCCAUUACGUGUUUGUAGGGGCAUGUGGCUAGGAUUUGGCCACCUUUAUAUUGUUAAUAUUUUUGAGAGAAUAUGUUUGGGCUUUUCCUUAUAAAUUAAGAGUUUUUAGUAUGAAUUAGACACUAAAAUACAAGCCUUAUGAACUUUUAAUGCAAAGAGCAUCACAAAUGAUUCCUCGUCCUACAUAAAAUAGGUUGAAAAUAAGAACCAAUACUCAUCCCCUUAACAUACCCUAUAGAUUUUAAUUUGUUUCAUAAAUUUAAAAAAAUAUAGAUCUAAUUUUCAUCUUCUAAUUUAUGAAAGGUCAAAUAUACUUAAUUUCAUUGACAAAACAAUUUUAAGUCAAAUAUAUCUAUUUAUGUUAAUCAAUAAAUGAUAGAAAUGAAAUAUUCAUGAAUAUUUAAAAAAUGAUAUAUACAUAUAUAUAGACAGAUAGAUAGUUCAUUUCUAAUAUAAAUAUAUUUUGAUUUAACUUAUAGCGUUAGAAAAUCACCUACAGCAUUUUCUAAAGAGAUGGUUUUCAUUUUGAGUAGAAAUAUGUUUUUCUUAAUUAAUAAUUAAACCAUGAGUAAGAUUUAAGAGUUUGGAAGCGAGAAGACAUGGUAGCCAUUCUGAUAAAAAGAAAAGGGCCAAUUAGAGAAUUAAAAGGGGAGAGGUGUAAUGAAAGCAAUUAAAAUUCAAAGCGGCCAACUUUUUCUAGAGUCUUGCUUUGCUUUGUGUAAGAGAGGGUCGUUAGGAGGAAACUCAAUUGUGAGCAACAAGAAAAAAAUGCCAUAUUCUAAAGAAGCUCUUGCUAGGCUGUUCUACAAUGUCUCCAGUUCUUUACAGCUUCUCUUCCUCUUCUUCUUCUUCUCCUCCAUUUUGCUUGCAAAGCUCCUCCACUUCCUCUGCAACCACCCAAUAUUCCAAAGGUCUACACCAUCUCUCUCUUGGUCUUUCUCUUGAUUAAUUUGCCAUAUAGACACAUAAAGAUGAUACUGUGUUUUAACUUUUCUUUUGUUCUUUCGCAGGACCCAACAUGGAUCUGCAGUUGGAUUGUUUUUGGACGACGAAGAAGAGGAGGACAUAUAUUUUCAUGAGGAGGAGUGCAUGGAGAAAGAUGAUCACCUGGUGGCCGACAUAGUUGAUGGUGGAGAAUCACUUCUGUUUUUGCCUGUCAACCGUCCUGUGAAGGAUCAAGAUCUUGAGCAUCAUGAAGAAACCAUAAGCAGUAGUACUACUCCUCGUGGCGAUUACAACUACUUCUUCCACCAAGAAGAGUCAAGUGAUGAUCAUAACUCACUGGUUCAAGAAUCAGAAGUACAUGAUGACAAGGAAGAUGAGGCUGAAGAAGAGAUCCCAACAUCAGAUACUGAUGCUGAUGCGGUAUACAAUUUUGGCCCCAAUGAAGGUGACCCCACCUCGCCGAUAACCAUCAAUCUAACCAAAAGUGGCUUGGUGGCCGAUGACGAAACCCAUGACGGUAUUUGCAUUAUAUUUGGCAUCCUUAGCCUUAUACCAUUAGUUAUAGUGCUUUAAUUUUAGUACUGGCACUCCACCUGAAGUUGCUUAUUCCUUUGUAGAGAAACGCGACGAGGAAGAUUCCAAAGGUGGUAAGGAUAAAAUUGAAGAUGGGAAGGUGGAAGAGACUACAAAUUUCACUAAAGAUGAAAAGUUCUUAAUUUUUGCGCCCCCUCAAUCGGAGGCUAAGAAGUUUCAUGUCCAAGAAAAGGAUAAUGAAGAGACUUGUGGCGACUCGUAUACCGUUGGAUCUACUUCUAAGAGCUCGUCUGAAUGGAGAAGUUCCAUUAAUUUCAGGGAUUCAGGGACAGAAGAUCCAUUUUCGUCCUCUUCCCGGAGGAGUUGCCCCAAGUGGGAAUCUUACACUGUGUUUCAGAAGUAUGAUGAAGAGAUGACAUUCUUAGAUAGGAUCAGCGCCCAAAAGCUUCAGGAAACAGGUAAUUUUCACUUUACAUAUUUAUUUAUUUUACAUUAUGAUCGUACCAUUUUAUAAAACAACUUAGAAUCUAUUUGGUAGUGAUUUUAAGAAGCACUUUUAAAGUUUUUAAUACUUAAAAAUUUUCAUCAUUCAAAAUGUUAAAAAUGUUAUAAACGCUUUCUAAAAUUACUUCCAAAUCCACUCUUAAUUUACAUAGCUACAUACAGAGUCUCUUAGGUCAAUCCAAGUCUGUCCAAAGUCAAUCUCAGGGAGGAUUGCUCAUAAAUUGGGAACAAUCAACAAGAGAUCAUCAGAUACCCAUCAGAACCCGUAUCAUGAACUAGAAGCUGCUUAUGUAGCACAAAUUUGCUUAACAUGGGAAGCUCUUAAUUGGAACUACAAGAACUUUCAGCGCCUGAGAGCUUCGCGUCGUGAAUGUGACCCCGGCAGUCCUGCUCAUAUUGCCCAGCAGUUUCAGCAAUUCCAAGUGCUUUUACAGCGGUACAUUGAGAAUGAGCCCUAUGAGCAUGGCAAGAGACCUGAGAUUUAUGCUAGGAUGAGAAUUUUGGCACCAAAGCUGCUCCAAGUGCCAGAAUAUCGAGGUACUCAUAAGACAAAGUGCUUUUAGUUUCUCGAGAUAACUUCAAUUUUCUUUUUGUUAACAAUAUAUCUGUAUAUUAAUUGGUUUUUAAAGAUUCUGAAGAUGAUCAAAAGGAUGAAAGUCUGAAGUCAAGAAUUUCGUCAGAUUCAUUUCUUAUUAUAUUAGAAGAGGGAAUAAGAACAUUCAUGAAUUUUCUCAAGGGGGAUAGGGAGAAACCUUGCCAGAUCAUAGCAGCUUUGUUCAAGAGGAACCGAAAAGGUUUGGUUGAUCCAACUCUUCUACAUCUGAUGAAGAAAGCAAAUCAGAAGGUACAAAUUAAUGGUAUUUGCUUUUGAGCCAUUCAAAAUAUCUACAUUAUUUUCUAAACUUACAGUUCGGUGUUAAAAUUCAAUCUGCAGAAGAAGUUAAGGCUCAAAGAUCUCCGCAGAACUGGCAAGUGCUUAAGGAAAAGAAGGUUAAAGGAGGAGGAAGAAAUGGAGAUUCUGAUGGGACUGAUAGACAUAAAAGUGGUGUCUAGGGUUUUGAGAAUGAGUGACAUAACAGAAGAGCAAUUACACUGGUGUGAAGAAAAGAUGAGCAAAGUGAGAGUUUUGGAAGGGAAGCUGCAAAGAGAUUCCUCACCACUUUUCUUCCCUGCACACUGACCCCACCAUAGAUUGGGUAUUUGUUGCUUGAUGACUAGACCAUGAAUGUGCGGUGACUGCAUGCAGAUGAAUAUCCUAAGGCAGACACACCCUUUUGUAAAUACUGUAAAGAAAAAUGAGAGGAAGGGGACCCACAAAUCAAAGCCAUGACAUGUGGGUGACAUAGAUUUUGAAGAUAUGGAAUCCAUGAAAGAAAAGAUGGGUUGGCUCUCUGAUUUCAUGAACAUUGAAAGUGAAAAGAGCUGGGACAAAGCAAGGAACACGAAGAUAGAGACGAGGUAGCUUUAGUUUGCUUUAUCUUUUGAAUUAGGGUUUAUCUAUAAGGGUUUUGAGCUGAAUCAAAAGAGAGAGAUUUGGGCAAAGCUGCUGCUACACAUGCAGUGGAAUAAAAAGGUGGCACAUGGUACACUCAAAGGGUGGGAGCCCGAGCUUCAUUUGGUACCACUUUCUUUGGGGAAAAGAUGAAUAAAUAAAUAAUCAACCAUGUAAGGUGUAUUCAGACUUCAGAGAGUUGCGUCCCUCUCAUGAUUUCUAUAAAAAGUUAAUCUUGUAGUUGGGUUAUCAUGACCUUCAUUGACUUCCAUCAUCAUUAAUAAUCUUUGGAAGAUAGUCUAUGAUUUAUUUCAUGAGCACUCUCUGCAACAUUCCAUUUAUUUGAUUUAUAUAUAACUCAUACAAUAAAAAGAUCAAUGUUAUACUAAUAUGUACUCAAUAUUGACACCUUCUAUUAAAUAAGAUUACUAUUUCAUAUCUUAGGUAAUAUGUCUACAUUCAUACAUCAAACUUAUUUGGACUUUAGUCAUAACCAAAGUUAAUUAGCUCAAUGAACCAUUUUCAGCCAUUACCAAAUUAUUUCCUAUGGUCAUGUCUGGACGUUGGAAUGGAGAUUUUAGAAUGGAAAUAGGAAUCAAAAAUUCAUUAGUGUGGAAAUUAAAUUCCACUCUCAUUAAUUAGGAUUUUGAUUCUUUUUUUUCAUAUGGUGUAUGUAUUAAGAUUCACCUUAGAGAUGACAACGAGACCGUUUGAGACUCUCACCCCUAUCCCAACCUCAUUCUGUUUAUUUAUACAUAUUUCCAACUUCUCAAAAUAUAUAUAUACAUAUUUAAAUGACAGGAUUUAUAUAGAAAAUUCUCAUACCCAUUUUGCCUACCCCAUUUAAUUUUUUAAAAUUUUUUGUUUGUAAAAUUUAAAUUUUAUUAAAAAUAAAUAUAAAUUAUAAAUAAAGAAAUAUUAUAAACAAUUAUAAUUUAUUUUUAUGAAAGUAAUAUUUUAUUUAUGUUAAAAAGUUGCAAGAGAAAUCAACAAAAAUAAUUUUUUAUUUAAAAUUAUGUGUAAUCAGGAUGGAGCGAGACAAAAUCAUACCCAAACCAUCACGAGUUUUUAAAAAGUUUUCAAACUCAAUCUCAAUUGGUUUAUCUUUAUCUCAGACCCUUCCCAUUAGGGGCGGGGAAGUACCUAAAAAAGGGCCCAUUGCCAUCCCUAAUUCGCCUCCAUUCUCAUCCUAUUUCCAUUUAUAUUCACACAUAUUAAAAGCACACUAAAUUCUAUACCAUUUUUUUAUUAUUAGAAGGAUUUAUCAUAGGCUUUUCCAGGUAAUAGAAAUUGUGAGUCAGUUCAAAGGAAUGCAUCCCUUGAUUCCCAAGCUACUAAGUAAUAGGAUUCAGAAAUUCAUGUCAUUGGAUUUCACUAGGAAACUUCGACUAAUUUUCUGUUCUAUUAUUUAAAUGCUAAAGAGAUAAGUUUUGAGACAUGACUCGGGUGGCAAGACGUAGACUAGAAGUGAGGAAAUUUCAAAUAAGAUCUAAUAAAAAAAAAAGUCUCAUGGUUGGGCCUCUGCGUCAUCAAAAACAGAAAAUCCCACCUAAUUUCAACUACUAGACAUUUCAAAAUUAAUUUCAAUCAUUAAAUAAGUAAAAAAAAAAAAAAAAACUUAUCAUAGAUUAACAAAAAAGAAUUGUAUUCAUGUUCUGCAUUCCUCCUAUUAUAGCAGAGCCCAUAUCAAUUGGGCUUUGAUUUUGUUUUGGGCCUAAAAGGGAGCCCAGUUUUAAAUCAACCCAGUCAAAGGGAGACUUAUGUAUGAAAUUUGGAAAUUGGAUUAUGAAAUUACGUAACAUAAUUUUUAUGAAUUGGAUCAAUUGAAUGAAUGUGAGUAAAGGGAUCCAUGGAUGAAGAUAGAAAAGUAGAUUUCUACUCGUAACUAAAUCUUCAAUUUUAAGUUUAUUUGUAUUUUGUAAAGGGGCGAUUGAAGCAAACUAGCUAAUAAAGGAUGUCUUUAGUUUACUAGAGACAUCGAAAUAUUGUUUUACCUUUAUGGAAACAAUAUGUUUUUCCUCAAGAUUCUCUCAAAUUGAAAUAGAGAACAAAGCAACCAGAAAGAUUCUUAUAAUCAUCCUGUUCUAGAGGGAUCAUCUAGAAAACCAAUCGUUUCGAAUAUAUUCAAGCAGAAAAAAUGACAUAGAUGUUAUGAAUCGAUUUUUUUUUUUUUCAUUUCAUUGAUGUCUUAAAUCUGGAAAUUUAUCCAUCCUCCAUAAAGGAGCCGAAUGAAACCAAAGUUUUAUAGAUGGGUCUAUGCGGUUAACUGAGGAAGGAACCUUUGAGUGCACGUGACAGAGUUUGUUUGGUGAUGGGCAAAUUAUACAAUUGAUUACGACAUUUGACAUUUGGGGUUUCCCGAAAUGGAUGCUAUCCAAUUGCACAAAUUGGAUAAUACACGGCUGAUGGGCGUUGCCGUUCCGCUCCACUCUUUCUUCUCCAUUCAAAGCCUAUCCAUAUGAUAAUUCAAUACAGGAACCGACCAACAACCCAAGCAUCAUGUCGGUAUCUUUGCUUCCAAGCAAAAUAAUUAUCAUCAGACAUAGCUUUACUUAAAUUUUUUAACCAAAAAAAAAAAAAAAAUUAUUGUAUGGUAGUUAAAAAAGGUUAACUUCUUUGGAUGAGCCAACAUUUAUAUCAUCUCUCACCAACUUUAAGUGAGCCAAGAGGCCCUUUUCCCAUGUGAGCUAUUAAUGAAAGGAAAAUGCUAUGGUACCACAAUGGUACCUCUCAUAGUGAUACCUAAGAAAUUAGGAAUUCCUUGUAUAUGAUAAGAUCAAAUAAUGAAAGGACGGAUGAAUAAAACUUUUUAUAAAGAUAUAAACAAAAAAAACCAAAGAUGUUUAUUAAAAUCAAGCCUCCACCUCGGGCGAAACCAUCCAACCUGAUGACUCAGAUAAGAAGAAAUAAAACAUGUCCGACAAAAAGUUAAACAUCACAAACCUAGAAUAAAGAGAAAACCUAUAAAAAGUAAAAAUCAUCUUCUUAGUACCCUUAAAAACCAUAAUGUAAUUGAUGAAAUUUAAAAACAUAUAAAUGAUUUGACAUAAUUGAUGGUAGAUUUUCGAUAAAUACUAAAAAAAGCAUAUUUCGAUACUACAAGUAUAUUAAGACAUUAACGAAAUAAUCAUCUUUUCCUCUUAUUUGUGGAUACCCAUCUUUUCAUUUCUCUGAUCUUAGAUGGGCAACCAUUCAUUUGCUAAGGAUUAGGUCCCUUUCAAGAUGGGAAAGCUCUUAUUUCACUCCUGGAAAAACACAUACUGGGAAUUCAAAGCAGCUUAAUUAUAGAAGGAAAAACAGCCUGUAAAGCCAAGCACUAGCAUAUAGUUGUUUUCAGAGGAAGAAAAGAGAGAGAGAGAGAGAGAGAAACAUGAUGGGUAUGUUCAAUUGAAACUGAACAAACAGAGACAACAAGAAGAAAGCAGAGAAAAGCCAAAUGCAAAAGCCUUGGUUUUUCAUAGCUCAGUGACUGACUCUACAAGGACACUUUCAAGAAUGGCGUGCUGAUGCCCAUCUGGUCUUCUACCCAACCUUGUGGUGAUUGAUGUGGAAUCCACCCACCAUUUUUGUUAAUAGAUGUCAUAAUUGUUUCUUUUCUGUUGGGUUUUUCAUCUUAAUUUACAAUGGUAAAUUUUUUUUUUUUCCCUCUAUGUAUACCAUUUUUCACUUUUAGGACAUAGGAUUCUUUGACAAGUACUUCCACAAAGGUUUGAGGUAUGUGAUUACUUUAACUCAUUGUGAUAGAUCCCAGCAUAUCUCAGUUUUGAUUGGUGUUUCUCUACCUAAGAGACAACAGCAGACAAGUCUUUUCCAUAUGGAACAGAUGAAAAUUUUCUUUUUCUCCAAACAGGUACGGUCUUUCUAUGUAGUAUUUUUCAAAGUAAUUUUUUAUUUUUAAAAAUAAAUUUUAUCCUAUACUGUAAUUGUUUUUCAUACUAAAAAGUAAAAACAGGUCUAAUAACUUUUCAGUAGAAGAUAGUUUUCUGAAAUUUUGUUUUGAAAGUAAGAUAUUUUCUAAGAAUGUGUUUUAAUUACUUUCCAUCUUUUUCACUUUUUUUUUUUAAUGCGUAAGGGGUAUUUUUAAAAAUAAUUAUACAAAUAUUAAGAGUAAUUGAAAAUGAAAUAUUAUGAAUAAAAAUUCUUUAAAAAAAAUAUUUGAAAACUCAAAAAAUUAAAUUAACAACAUUUCAAGUUUUUAAAUAAAUUUUUGUUUUAUAAAAUGUGAAAAAACUAUUUUUUGAAAUUGUUUUUAUUACAUGUUGCAUUUAAAACAUUGUCAAACAUUGUCAAACAUUGUAUGAAGUUUUGUCUAUAAGACAUUUUUUUUAUUAAUUUUUGUAAAAAAUAUCAAGUAUUCAAACUUUCGAUAAAAAAAAACCAAUUACGAUUUAGGUAAUUUUACUAGAUUUAUUUACUAUGCUCAACUUUUUCAUUAUAAUCCCUUAAUCUUUUAAAUAUUACCUUUUUUUAUAAACCAUUUAAGGGUAUGCUUGAUUCAAUAUAUUUUUUUAUUUGAUUUUAUUAUAAAUAAAAAAAAUAUAAAUGAAAUUAGAAUAAUAUAUAAAAAUAAUUUACUGUCUUUAAAAAAAAAUUCUUUUUUUUUUUUCUGCCCAAAAACAUAAUUUAGUAAAAGUUUUAGAAAGGGUUGCAAAUUGAGAAGGGUCAUUCUGUAAAGUAACGAAAAGGGGUUGGAGUGGCAUGUGGAGGAAUCAGUACCCAAAAAUUUAAAAAUAAAAAGAUAAAAAAAUAAAAAAUAAAAGUAGUAGAUCCAUAUGCGGGGCAAGUGGCGUAGUUGCAUGGCCCAUUCCCAAUAUAUUUGUCUCUUUCGCUUUGGACUCGAAUCUACGCACGCUCUCCAUUCACCCCACGCUCCUUUCCGGUUUCCGCCUCUAUUAAAUAAGAUGCUCCUCUUGGAAUAUUUUUUUCCAUUUUCUUUUUUUCUUUUUUUAUUCCCCUUUAAAAAAAUGGUGUGAUGUCAGCAAGUGUAUCCACGUCAUUUAAUUUUUUAAAAAUUUUAGUUUAAGUAGAUUGGAAUAUUUCCUUCAUUUUUUUUUACCUUGAAAUAUCUUUUACAAAAAUAUUUUGAAGUUUUAAUAGAAAAAUUAUAUGUAAUUAAGAUAGUAUGAUUAAUUUUUUUAAAUAAAAAAUCAACAAAAAGACUAAGACACGUGUGGAUGACAUCUUGUGAAUAACAUUCAAGGAAAUAAAUGGAGAAAAAAGAGAAGAAAAUCGUUUUUUUUCUUUCCUUUUUAACUUUAUUUUAUACUGAAAUUAAUAAUAAAAGUUUUAAAUUGUUAAUAAAUUAUUUAUGGGAAAAAUGUAAAGUAAAUAAAUUAUUUAGAUAUGAUUUUUUUUUAUAAAGAUUAAAUAAUAUAAUAUAUAUAAUUUUUUAACUUGAUUAUAAUUAGAUUUAAUUUUUUUAUUGAAACACCAAAGAUAAGGAAGAAAUGGAAUUCAAAUAGAAUUAAAUGUAUUUAUAAAUUAAACAAAUAUUAAAAGAAUAAAAAUAAUAAUAUUUUUAUAUAAAUAUAAUGAUUCAAUUAAAAUAUACUAUUUUUUAAAAUUGAUUAAAAAUUAAAGUAUAAAAAAGUUUUUAUUAACUAAAUUUUGAAAUAAGAUAAGUCUUUUAAAAAAAAAAUUCAAAAACCCUUUUUCUUUUAUUUAGGGUAAAAUCUUAAAAAAAAUCAUAUUGAAUUUCAAUCAUUGAAAAUUAAUUAAUUUAAUGAUUGAAAAAAUGGAAAAAAUGUAAAAUAUUAAUUUAAGUUUGAUGGACCAAAUGGAGGGUGGCUACCACGUCCUAUGAACCUUCCUUUAGUAAAUGGAAUUUUUGGUCUCAUCCUUGUCUUUUACAAGGAUGACGUGGAGAAAACUGAUUGGUGGUGGAGCAAAAAGCCCAAAGUUGCGGACCUCACAUGAUGAUCCCCUCGUGUGGACCGAAUCGCUGCGUUGUAUCGCAGAAGGGACGAGGACAAGCCGAACACGAAUCUCCACGACCAAAAGGCAUAAAUCAACGGUGAUUAGAUCGCAUCAUAUAAUAUAUGCAUCAACACAGAAACAUUCCCCAAAUGCCUCUCUCUUUCUCUCUCUAGUUUCUCUGUCUAUGAAUAUUCAGCAAACUUAACUCUUUAUCUUCCUUUUCCAUCCUCUCCUCCGUCGCUCUCUCUGGUUGCUCCAUCCUCUGUUUGGAGGACCUUGACCCACCUCCGCAGGCCCAGCUCAGGUCACUUCUCUCUCUGGAUUCUUUUAUUUCAUGGGUUUGUUUAUGUGUUGGUUUGAUUGGAUCUGAAACCCCCCUCGUUUGAUCUGUGUGUAUCAGGUGGCGUUGCCCAGAUCUUUGAUUUGUGGAGGAUGAUGAAGGGUUGUGCCAUGGAGCAGAGCAGUACGUACGCGGCCUGUGAGGAGAUGAUCAUGAUGAUGGGUUCCGUCUCCGUCGUUUGCCCCAAGCCUCGUCGCCUUGGCCUCUUCAACAACGACCACAUCCCACCCCGGAGAUGGCACAUGCAGUAUGUUUUCCUUUUUUUUUCUUUUGCCGAGAAAUUCUUUGUUUUCUCCGGAGAAAAUACCCUUUUAGUGAUUGGAUUAAUUAAUUUUAGUUUUUCUUGUUUGCCGAACACCAGUCAUGAUGAUUCCAAGGAUGGGUCGGAGCUUCUUGACAUCAUUCUCGCCAAGGUAUUGUUCUGUUCCACUUCUCUUUUGUGGGUUCCGUUCAACGAUGAUGUCUCUAUUCUCACUACGAUUCUUCUUCUCAUUACAGGGAUCCGAAAGAUCGGGCCACCAGGUGGCUUCAUCUCCACCAUAUUUUUGUGGGUCACCGCCGAGCAGAGCUUCGAAUCCCGUAAUCCAAGACGCCCAAUUCGGGAACGAAAAGGUCACACCCUUCUCUCGGGCGCCGUCACCAGCCCGCAAACCCGCUGGAGGAGGAGGGGGAGGAGGAGGAGGUGGGGCCGGUGGUGUGAGAAUGAUGAAAUUCGGAUCCAAGCCGGCGGCGGUGAGGAUUGAAGGGUUCGACUGCCUGGGCAGAGAUGGGCAAAGCCGCAGCAUAUCAGCCGUGGCAUAGGCCCCCCUGAAACCAAAGUUUUGGAAAAUGCAGAGGAACUAAUGGUAGAAAUUAUGUGUAUGUAUAUACAGUUGAAUUGAAUUGGUUUUGAAGACAUAUAUAUAUAAUAUAAAUAUUUAUAUAUAUAUUUGUGGAAUAUUGAGUUGAUGAAAGAGAGAGAGGAGUGUUAAUUUUGAAGAAUAAGGAGAUAGGGAGGAAAGGGAGAGACUAAGAGGUCUUUCCCUUACUAGGGUUUUGAUUGGAGUCUGGUGGAGAGAGAAAGAGCCUGCCCUCUGUCUCUUUCUCUGUCUUUGUUGUGUGUGUCUGUAAUUUUACUCACUCUGGUCCUUCAUUGUAAUUGUAAUUUGAGGUGAAGGGGGAAGGAGAAUGGAGAUGAAGCUGGGUCUUCUUGUAAUUUUGCUACUUUAUUCCGGGGUCUUUUGGACCUUAAAUAAUUCUGUAAAGAAGCACGUGCUGUGCCUAUUGUAAAUAUUUUAUAUAUUUAUUUUAUUUUGGUGGGUGUUAGGUUAUUAUGAAUUUGACUUUUAUUUUCAAAUAACAAAUUUGAUUUCGUGUCUUUGAAAAGUGGAGCAAAUAUGACAUCAUGGCAGAUUUGGGAAAUUAAAGAAAUUGAAUGAUAAAAAUAAUAUUAUUUGCAUGCCUCAGGGCAAAGCCGCCUCCUGUGGAGGUUAGACUUGGGACAGGGAGUGGAAGACAAAAUAAUUGGAAGGAUGAUGAAUUGUCCACUGUAGUGUCUACAGUAUACAGGUGGCCUUGAGUUGGACUUAAGCUUUAAAGAUGACAGCUGCUGAUCUCACCAACUCCCUACUUUUCGCGCUUGAAUUCUCUCUCAUUCUUCAUUGCUUCCUUCCUACCUCUCAUCCUCUGCCCCUGCUUUCUGCUUAGUUCUUUUCUUUAAAUUCAAGUCACCGCGGUUCGCUCUCUCUCUCUCUCUCUCUAUUUUCGCCUUUUCCCUAGAGCGUUUGGCUACGGCAAAAAAGACGUAUCCAUUGCAAUGAACGGCAUGGGCUCAGUCGUCUGGUGGGCAUGACUUUUCAAGAUUUUUAGUCAUAUCCACCAGCAGGCUGAACCCAUGUCGUGCUGCCCAUAGUGGGCUAGUUUGUAGGUGUUAAUGGGCUAGCCGCUAGCCUUGUUCUUAAACAGUAUAAAGACUUUGGGCUCAAGAAAAUCCGAUAGUGAAGGACAAAUUUGCAAACUUGUUCAUUGUAUGACAUGACAUCAUAGAUUUUCUCAGUUCUUGAAAUGACAACCAGACAGAUUAGAGUAAUUAACUGCAAAAAAUAAUUUUCUUAGCUCGUGAUCGGAUACAGUUCCUAUUUGUUAUUUUUAAAAAUAUAAAAUAGUUAUGUUUUUAAAAAAACACUUUUAACCUAAGUAGUGUUUUUAAAAAAUUACCAAUUGUUUGAGAAAAUUUAGAAAACAUUUUUAAAAUUUUAAAAAAUUACUUAUAAGGUUAAAAAUUACUUAUAAUGACUUUUUAAGAAACAUUUAAUAAAUUUUUUUUGUAAAAAUACUUCUAAAAAAGCACUUUCAUUAAAAAGUAAAAACAUUUCAAAUUGAGACAUUAUUAAAGGCAUUGUAAGAGUCUUUUUAAGAAAACACUUUUAGCUUAAAUAGUAUUUUUGAAAAAAAAAUUGUUUAGUCAAAUUUAAAAAAUAUUUUUAAAAUUUUGAAAAAUUAGUUAUAAUAUUAAAAAAUUAUUUAUAAUAUUUUUUUAAAAAAUACUUAAUAAAUAAUUUUCUUAAAAAUAUACUAAAAGAAUACACAUUUACUAAGAAUGUAUUUGACCGUGAUUUUAGAAAGUGUUAAUAAUCCUUUUAAUGUUUGAAAAAUAAAAAAAUUUAAAUAUUAAAAAAACUAAAAACAAUUCAUAAAAUCACUAUCAAAACGCACUCUAAAACCUUUUGAACAAAAUAAAGUACUUAAAAUUAAGCUUUUCAAGGUGUAGCCAACAAAGCACUUGUUCUAUCUUCUCAACACUUUUAUAAGGUCACGCCAUAUUAUGGUAUCAUUACUUUGUAUUAAACUUUCAUUUCAUCAUUUUGCAUUUUGAUCAAAUUCUUUUAUGUUUGAUCCUAUUUAGUUACGGGUAAACUAAAAAGCCUUACAAAUUGAAAGUUUUGAAUUUCCACUAACAAAUAACAAUCAAUCUCUUUUUUUUAGGCUAUGUUUAAUUAUCAUAAAAUUUGAGCGCAAAUGUGAGACAAAGAAAAUAGAGAGGAAAAAUUGAACGAAAUAAAAAGUGAAGAAAAAAAAAAUAGAUUUAAAGUUAAAAAUUAUUUUUAUAUAUUGCUUUAAAUUUAUUUCAUUUAUUUUCCUUUAUUAUAUAAAUAUUAAAUAAAUUUAAAAUGCAUGAAUUUUAACUAAUUUUAAUUCUAAUUAAUUUUCUUUCACCAUUUUCUAUAAUGAUGAGAAAAUAAUUUUUGUUAGCAUUUUUUCUUUCCUUAAUACUUUCUUGAAACCAAACAUAACCUUAAGGCUAUAUCAAAGUUAAGUCCAUAAAUUUUUUUAUAAUUAUAAAAGAAUAAUGAUAUCUUUAAACAUACUUGAUUACUUUAUUGGAUUCAUUUUCUACCCUCCAUGAUAUAUAGAAAUUUCUAUUAAAAACUUUCAAAAUUUUUUAUACAAAAGAAGCAAAUGUGUAUGUCUAUUGGGAAGUGAGACCGAAAAGGGUCUAUUUAUUGUUGAUGAGCCCUUUGCUUAUAAGUGUAGUAGUUUACAGAGUGUUUGGUAAUGAUUUUGGGAAGUAUUUGUGGGAUCUUUAAUAUUUAAAAAAUAAAAAAUUUAAAGUGUUAAGAAGACUAAAAAUACUUCCUAAAAUCACUAUCAAACACACUUUAAUCUCCUAAAUGUUGCUUUUUAAUUGUUAAAUCCUCUUUUUGAUUGUUGAAAAGCAUGCAAACCAUGAAACAAGGAUUUGGGGUUAGAAAUUUGUUUUUGAAAAUAAUUUUUUGAGAAUUAAGAACAUAAAAUAAUUUUUUAAUUCAAAAAACAUGUUUAUUAAUUUUUAAAAAAAAAUUAUUAUGAAAACAAAUUAUUCUUUAGAAUAAAGUAGCUGGUUUUUUCUUCUGUUUUUUUUGUCAUAUUUGAAUUUUCUUACAAAAAUUUAUUUUAAAAAAUAUAUAUUUUUUGAGAAUUAUUAUUUUUUAAAUGUUUCUACACAAUUUGUAGGAAGUGAAUUUUACCAAUUUUCAUUAUAUUUUGGGAUUGAAGCAUAUGAGGUUGGAUGGAAUAUGACCUAGAACAGCCAGUUAGCUAAGCUUUUAUGAUUGAUUCGACAUCCAUUCUUUGAUUCUAUCCUAGUCUCUCAAAGCAAAUUUUGGUCAUUAUAAGGCUGGAUUGUAUGUGGUUGAGCUUUUUCUAUAGGCUUUCCAUACUUAUCCACUACCACAUUCUAAAGGGAGCAGUUGUGUUUGAUUGGGAUGCAAUCCAUUCAUUAUUACAAGAGACUUGUUAUUGGGAUUUAUAACUUAUACCCACACUUUCAUCAUUGAUAUAGUAAUAAUAUGGUGAGUGAUGUUGGUGAUAGGAAGAUCCAAGUGAUUAAGAGCCCGUUCAGUGAUUUUAAAAAAUGUUUUCAAAUUUUUUAACUUUUUAAAAUUUGUAUUGUUUAAAUGUUAAAAAGGUAAAAAAUAUUUUCUAAAAUUACUACCAAACACACUUUAAAAGCCUAUUUGAAAGUGAUUUUAGGAAAUAUUUUUAAAGCACAUUUUGACGGUAAUUCUAAAAAGUGUUUCUACUAUUUUUAAUACUUACAAAUUUUUAUUUUUCAAGUAUUAUAAAGAUUAGAAACACUUCCAAAAAUCAUUAACAAACUUACUCUUAAUUUUUUUAACACUUUAAAUUUUUUAUUAUUUAAGUAUUAGAAAUAUUAAAAACGUUUCCUAAAAUCACUCUCAAACGCACUCUAAAAAAUAAUUAUAUUUAUAAAUCAAAAUGCAAUUUAUUUCAUACGGAAUCAAAUAUUCCACGAGAAUACAUACCACAUUGGCAUUAAGAACCCGUUGUACAAUCUGUUAUUUUAAAAACAAUUUUUUAUGAUUUAAAAAAAAAAAAGGUUCAACAAUCAAAAAAUACAAAAUAAUUUUUUUCUUCUUAAAAAUAAAUAACAUGGUAUUUUUAGAAAACAUUUUUUUAAUUAUUUUAAUUUGUUUUCUAAAAAUAAUUUUUAAAAGUAAUUAUAUAAAUAUAAAAAAUGAUUAAAAAUAAAAUACUACAUGUUAAAAACAUUACAACUUUCCAAACAAAUUUUUAUUAUAUAAAACAUUAAAGAAUAUUGUUUAGUGUUUAAAAAGUCCUUGAAAACUAUUUUUCAAAAUUAUUAUCGAAAACACUUUUCAAAUAUAAUUUUAAUUUUAUUUUAUAAGGGAUGUGAUUAAACAAGGAAUUAAAAAAGACUUCAAAAUUCAACAAAUAUGAUCAUAAAAAAACCUAUGCCUAAAUCCGAGUUUGAUUUGUGCUUGAACUUGGUGAAUAUCAAAGACCUUGAAUAACCCUUUGAGGGCAUCUACGGUGAUCAAAGAAAGAUUAGAUUCUAUUUGAAAAUUGUUUUAGAAAAUCGUUUGGAAAAAUAGUGUUUUAUAACUGUUUUUAAAAAUUAUUUUUUGAUAUUUUGUAAAAUAAAUAUCUAUUUAAAAAUUAAUUUGAAAUAUUUUUAUAUUAUUUUAUAUGUUUUAAAAAUAAUUUUUAUAUACAAUAUUUUAUUUUUAAUCAUUCCUGAAUAAUUAUUUUUUAAAACUAGUUUUAAAAAACAAACGAAAACCAGAAAAUAAUUGUUACCACAGCUAGGCAAUUGCGAAGAAUUACAGCACCAAACCAGGAAAGGAAGCCGGUCCCUGACGUUAUGUUGAGGGUAGCUGUGCGGCUUGUGUCUCACCAAACUUUUGCCUUUGACCUUCAGGCACUUGCCAACGCUCUUGUGAUUGCCAUGGACCCGAGCAAGUUGUGCUGGCUGAUGGGUUCCUUUCUAUGCUCCUUUUCUUGGCUUUGGCAUUGUAAAUAUUGGUCAUGUGACAAGAAACUUCCCUGAUAUUUUAAUGCUAUCUGAACUUAUCCAACACUCAACCAUAUAGCAUUUGCUUGAAGCCUUUCACAAUUUCGUGUGAAAAAAAAAAAGUUUAUUUAUAAAAUUUAAGGAAGGAAAAUAAGUUAAAUCAGUAAUCAUUCUUACCUUGAGGUUUUGACUAAAUAUAUCUGAUACUUAUUGAUUUGAAAUUUCGUUAAACACGUGUUUUUUUCGUUAUUUUUAUUUAUUAUUUUCAUAACUCUUAUUAAAAUAUAGGAUAUUUGAUGAAAUUUUAAAUUAAUACAAAUCAUGCAUAUUUAACGAGAACUUGAAAAGAGGCGAGUGAAAUUAACCCUUUAUAUAAUAUAUGUUGUCGGAAAAAAAAAAUCAUAGAAUGAAUUCAUUGACAUCAUGGGAAUUCAUUGUUAAAUUGGAAGAAAUAUCUUGAAAUUGGGUUUUCAUUGAAAUGGAGGAAAGAGUAUCAUUAGCCUCUUUGACAAAGGCUAGCUAAUUGGGUUUUCAUUGUAUGUCAAAGUUAUGUACAACCUACUACUACAAAAAAGAAACCCAUCAUCAAAGAAAUAAAUUAAAACAGGAUUGAAUAUAGAGGUGCGAAAUUGAUCAAUAUUAUUUAAUGGUCCCACAUGAAAAUAGCCUUUCCAGCAAGUCCAUUCAAUUUUCACAAGACAUCCAACCAUAUCCUCAAGGAUGACCUCCCACCACACAAUCCUUGUACCACCUUAUCUCAUAUAUAGAUAGGAAUGAUCAACACUUACAGAAGUAUAUAUUAAGCAAGCAUGAACAGUAAGUAAAUAUAAAGCUGAAAGCAAAGAGCAUAGGUAUUAUUAAAAGUGGUGGCGUUUACAUGGCCACCAACGAUUAAAACAUCCGACGAUGAUGAUACACCAUAUCCUCAUACAAUAUUCCAUUGCAUUACUCCAUCGGAGACUUCGAAUAAGCAAAGAAAAAACAAAAAACAGACACAAAAAAUAAAAUUCCACAAGGGUCCUAAACAUGAGAGUGAAAAAACAUGGACAUCAAAUAUUGCGGAAACAGGAUCAGCUGGGCUUGUAGGCAAUGAAAGCGAUGCAUUGCACUUGGCGGUUAUUGUCGAAUCCGAUGAUUCGGAUGUGGGCGUCAGGGUACGCGGUCCUGGCUUCUUGCACCUCCUUAAUCACCUGGGCUGAGUCAGUGCACCCGAACAUGGGCAGCUUCCACAUGGUCCAGUACCUUCCGUCGUAGUAUCCUGGCGAUCUGUUGUGCUCUCUGUGGGGGUAUGGGUACUGCAUUCACAUACAAAAUAAUAAUCCAAUUAUUCUACAAAUUAAACCUCUAUAAUCCUAGUUUAAAAGCUUCACAGAAAAGUUCAUGAAAAUAACCAGCUUGGUGAAUUCCAAGCAAGGAAUCCAUUUCAUGCGGAGAAGGUAAUCCACUUCCUUGCAUAGCUGUUCGUCGUUGAGGGGUGGGAGGUAUGAGAGAGUCUCGAACUUCAUCAACCCUUCUGUAGGCCAAACCUGUGGUUUUCACAUGUACAAUAUCCACAGUUUAAUUCAUCAUAUAUAAAAAAAUAAAAAAUAAAAAAAACCCAGACUACUAAUGUCUUCUAAUUGAAGUGAAGUUGUGACUUGUGAGGCAGGGUGGUGGCAGUACCUUCAUGCAGCGAACUCGGCCACCAUUGCUAGCGACGGAGGUGAUGUCGGUGUUGGCUUUUCGGGUGCCAGGGAAAGUCGACAAAGAUUUGAGUCCGGUGAAGGGGGCCACCAUGUUGGCCUGAGCCGGGGUAGCACGGUUGAUUGUAGCCACGGUGGCGGAGGAGACCAUGGAGGAAGCCAUUUUCGCCUUUUGGGUUUUGCUAACACCACCACUGCCUUGUGAGUUAUGGCUCCUGCUUACCCCAUCCUAUAUAUAAUCCUCCGAGCUUUACUCUCUUCUCUAACUGGCCUCACAUUUGCAUCCAAGGGCUGAGGGUCGAGGGGUCUGGGGUUGGAGGCCUUUGGGCCGUUGGAUGAUACCAGGGGAUGACAUGAAAAUUUCGAUGGCCACAUAUCAGAAUUGGAUGGGUGCCUUAUCGUUAUGGCACCCCUCUCGGAGUGUCGACACGUGUCGACACCUCAUUAACCUUAUCUAACGUUGUGAAGAAGGUGAUUGUGUGAUGUUUUCUGGCCCUUCGUUUCUGGGGUGACUGCCGCUCUUCGCCCAUGGAUAUUUGGAGUUUUGUUCAAUUACCUAAUUGCCCAUCUGGGAUUUUUUUUCAAAUAUUAUUUUUUUAUUAUUAUUAUCAUGUUUUUUUUAAGUGAUGCGAUGAGGUAUGGAGGUACCAUGAUAAGUAAUGGUGUGACUGCAAGCCAUCAGAUCAGAGGGUCCCCCACUUGGAAUAUUGCUCCAAUUCUACGACUAGGUGACUAACACUCAGCAGCCCUUUAAGCGGAGGAAGAAAUGUGACAGUUUCUAUAAGUGGAGGAAGUCUGAAUUCUGAAAGGCAUCGAUAAGGCCUUAAAACGUAUCUAUUGAAGGCAUAAAUCACUAUGUUCUCUUUUGGCUUACCCCAAAAAAAAACACACAUUCCCUGAUUCAUGUAUUCUUACUUCUCAAAGUCCUCAUUUUGGACUAUUUUACAGGCUUUCUUCCUAGAAUUUCAAAUUCAAAUUCAAAUUCAAAUUCAAGAUCAUAAAGAAGCCUCCACCACUCAAGGUUUAUCUUCUCUCCUAAAGGGAGAUGAUAUUUUGCCAUACAAAGGUUUCAGGACCUCCAAAAGAAAACGGUACUAAUUUUGUGUAAUUUCAGUAUGCUUAUGAGUUACGACUCAACUCAAGUCCCGGUUGGUGAGCAUCACUUCUAAAAAUGUAGUGUUGGGUCAAUUUGUUAGGUGGACCAUCACUUCUCCACAGAAACUUCUAGCUCUUCUCUGCACUUGUGGCCUCUAUUCUUUCAUAUAAGAUGUAAAUAUUCUCACUAAAUAAACCCAAAAGAAAAAAGAGAGAAAAAAGAUUGGUGGAGGUUGUUUUGGAGGAGGGAUCCCUGUGAUCCACAUGUAACAAUCAAGGUUUCCAUUCAAGUUGAUGGAUAGGCCUGUGUGCUAUAACAAAAUCUUGUGCAACUCCACCACAAAUUCUCCAAAUCAAAUCCCACUGUCAAGCCAAGCAACAUGCUCCAGAAAGCGAAUUCUGAAACCUUUUCUAGAUCAGUGACAACAGAUGUGUUUGUGUUUCUUGUUUCAAUGGAGAAGCCAAAGCCUCUUUAAGACGUAUUAGUGCUGUGACAGGAAAAAUAAACUCAUGUUUUGAUCUUGUAGAAGAGAUUGAAAAUGCAUGAUGUAUUGUUUAUAAUGCUGGUGUAAAUAAUGAAACUGUUAGAAAGGGAUUGUAGGGAAAUUGCUUGUGUUGAAGAUGAUCCUUUGAAAUCAUAGUUUCUGCCUUACCUUCAGCUUCAGGCUAAACCCACAGGCAAAAAUGGCAAGAGGAACCUUCUAACACUCAUUUUCUCCCAUCUGCAUUGGGAGGGUAAUACCAAAAACUAAUUUAUGCGGAUUAAGACUGAUUGCGAGAGGAAUAUGACAUUCAACAGGGAAUACAAAAAUCAUAAACUGAAAAGUUUGUUUAUUAAAUCCAAUUAAAUAUGACAUUGCCCACCACGAAAAGCAGUGGAAUACGAAGAAUGACUUCCAAUAGAGGAGCUUCUGUACAGUUAUAAGCAGGAAAAAAAGAAAGAAAAGAGAAAAGAAUUACAUGGAAGUAGUGAAGUACAAACUGCAUAACCAGGAAAAAAUAUGCAACUGACUUCCUUCUAAUUUACUGCCAUCGCCUAGGAGGCUUGGUGAAAGUAGAGCUUCCAGUGCCACUGAUAGUAGCACUUCUUCUCAUUCCUGAGAAGAGCAGUUACAGGGAAAGAUAAGAGAUUGAAGGAAUAUUAUUAGCAAGUAGCAAUUGAUCCCAAAAACUCUAAUAUUUUACAUACCUGUUGCCGCCUUUGGAGAAUCCUUAAGAUGUGAUGGUGGAGGAGAUGAAGUUCGCAAUGUUCUUUGCGGUGGUCUUGUUAUUCUAGAGGCUGGUUUAGACCUGUACAAAAUAAUUUUAGUUCAGGUUUUGGACUUGGAUUCAAUUCCAUCAGUAUACAAGUCCAUAUCAAAAAGCCCCAAAAGUAAUCUCUACAUAUAGACAAAAUCAAGCAACAAAAUGCAGUAGGCUGCUGCUUUGGACUAGCUCAUUACAAGAACAGAAAAUUAUUUCACCCAAGUCAGGGGUAAAGAAUGGUUUGAUAUCUCAUGAUGGGAGAAUUAGUACCCACAUUGGUCAAGGUCCCAAGUUGAAGGGAGACAUAAAAUGGAUAUUACCACAGCAAAUUAUCAACACAACCAUUACUUUCCAAAAAAAGAUUUUGCAUAAAUAAAAUGAAUUAAAUGUAGUAGCAGACCAACUGAUAGAGCAUUCAGUUUUUUAAUAAUGAAGAAAAUUAAAACAGAAAAUUCAAGCUCUCUUUUGCAAUUUUCAUAUGUUUUACUCACAGAUGAAUCUUUGUAUCAACACCCAAAGACUGAAGUAAAGAAGAAAAAUACUCACUUCUCUGUGGUCUCUGAUGCUUUAGAUUGAGCAGGGCCAUUAUUUUCUGUUCGCAUAGGAAAACCACCAUCAGAUGUAUCACUUGAUCUCUCGUCACAAUCUGUCUCCCCAAAUCCUAAGGUCGAAGCAUCUGCAGGAUUAUUCUGACCUAUGUCCCCACCGGCAAGCUUUGAUUUCCGAAGGGAUUCAUUUGGUUGUUUAAAGUCUUCCAUGGACUGCUGGGAAUCAGCAUCAGAAUGCUUAUCACUGUAUUCUGAACUGUUGUCCUGAUCAGAAGCUGCUCUCUCAGCUGGUCCUAAGCCUUUCCCACCUGGUAGUUUCUGGCUUAGUUGAGCAGUCCCACCCACGAAAUUCCUGCUUGGUGGGGAAGAUCCAUACUUAAACGAACCUGUAACACUUCUCUCACAGUUGAGACCAGGAUGUACAUUUUUGAGAUCUUUAAGUAGUUGCAACCGUUCGAUCUCCUCAUCUUUUUUGGCAAUUGUGUCUUUGAGAGAUGCCACCUGCAGGAUCAAUAAGGUAUUUAGAAAACAAGGAACUACCAGUGCCUUGAAAGAUGAUUACUAGUUUUGAUGUUUAACUAAAAUUGAAAUGAGUAAACAAGCAGGUAUAUUCGGUAUGAAAAGACCUAGAUGGAAAUCAGAUGAUAGAAAAUCCACCUUUUCACAUGUGCACAUAUAUCAGUAAUCAAUCAAAAAGGAGUUCUAAUGUAUAUAAACAAAAGAACAGGGUACAGUGUAUUGCAAGAGCACAGUACAGGGCGUUCAAGACCGUCUUUGAAUGCACCUCAAUAUGAUCACUAGACUCCAAAGCUCAAGAAAAAUGGUGUCCCUCCUCUUAAGCAUAUAGCUCCAGUUAAGUGAUAAAUAGAAAAAUGCAAAAAGCACAUACCUCUCCCAAGUGUUUUCAAAUAUCUCUUUCUUUUCAUCUCCAAGUGUUCCUAUAUUCCUUCUUGUUUUGUGUAUGUACCAUGUAUACACAUAAAGAUAUAUUUGUGUAUUCUGUUUUCAAAACCAAAAGCCAAAAACAUUAUCCCCUCAUUUCCUUAUAGCAAAGGGUCAAUAAUCUCGAACUUAUUUUUUCACCUUCUAAAACAUUGGUGUGGAGGUGACAAAAGCAGGGUCCACAAGGACUCAUUUGUAAAGCAAAUCAAUUAUCUAUGACAAUUUUCCUCCUAGUAAAUUGUUGUUGAACAUAUGAAAGCAGUAGCCCCUAGAAAUCAACUGAUAUUUUAUGUAACCAUGUGACCCGACAACUAGAGGAGUAAGAUCUCAUACAUCCUCAGCAAUUAUUUUGAGAUGAAUGUCUGGAAUUAAAACACAGUCCCUAUUCUGAACGUAAGCUGAAUUGGAUAAUAACUGAAAGAUUGAUUGAUCGCUCUGCAAGUUAAGAAAGAGCAAGGGAAAAGGAAAACAAAAAAAAGAAAAAAAAGAUCUUGAGGUCCACUGAGAAAUUAGACCUACUCAACUACUUGAGUAAACCUUAUAUAUUUCUAUAGUGCUUGCAAUACGUCUUGAAAAGCAUAAAAUUCUAUUUAGCACCAUGGCUAGUAAAUAUUCAACAAACUGCUACUUAAAUGAAUAUGAGAACCUGAUCCAUUAAUUCCUUAACGUCCCUGCCCUCUUUGCUACUCCGUGCAGCACCUAGCUCGACUCCAGAAACCCUCUCAGCAAAUUUCAAAGUACUUGCAGUUUCAGAAAAUGAAUUCACAUCAGGAUUAAGCUGCACAAACAUAAGAGUCUUUGCUUGACCACCUGUAGUUUAUAAAGUAGAAAAUAAAAAUCCGCUAUAUGAAGUUCAAAAAGAGGACUAUUGGGAGCUAAGGAAAUAAUUUAGAGUCCUGACGAAACAAUAAGACAGGUGAAGGGAUUUAUUGCUAAAAGCAACUGGAAAACAGUGAAGUACCAAGAGAACUCUGAAGGACUUGAGUAAGCUUGCUGUUUCUGUAUGGUACAUGAGAGCUCUUCUGGGCAAGAGCAAAGAUAACAUCUCCAAGGGCAGAUAGCGAUUUGUUUAUAUGUUGUGCUUCCCUAAGUCUCUCUCCAGUUACCUCAGAGCGAUCUACCCUUUCACUUCCUGCAAGAUCCACCAAGUGAAGACUGCCACGCAAAGAAGCACCAGUCUUCAAAUCCGUCCCCCAAGCAUGAAUAGUUACAAUACUGCAAUAACACAUCUAAGUGAAGAUCAUAACAUGUAGAACAUAUACAGUCUGAAGAUGGUAAUAUCUAAAAAUGAAAUGACAACCUGUGGGAGCGGCUACUUCUUUCAUUCAUAGCAGUGGCACCUACAGAUCUAUUCUUUUGUCCAAUGUCCAUUAAUUCCAUUACAUCUGAGGUUGAUUUGACUGGGAGCAUGGUAGCAUCAGGAACAGCUAACCCAUGGGGCUGAGAGGUAGUCAAAAUCCCAAGUGUGUGCAAAUUAAGGAAAACAAAGGAUUUCAUGCCAAAACACAUGAAAACUAUUUUUCACUUAAUCAAACCCAAGAAGAAAAAGGCCAAGAUGCAGAAUUAACAAAGAUUUCAAAGAGAAUUAUACCACACCAGACAGAUAAAUCUGGAAAAAUCUAGAAAUGUAACUGGAAGAUUAUAGAGAAAUGUUUUAUGACAGUUAUCUGUCAGACAAAAACUAGUCAAUGGAUUAGGCAGAACAACUCAAAGCGAAAACAGAAGAUGAAAAUGAAUAGAGAAGGAUAUCCUUUUUACAUCUUUAUGCCAAAGAAUGAAAAUGAAUAGAGAAGGAUAUUUUUUUUGAGAACUAUCACUUGAUAGUAAAUCACGCACUUGUUCAUUGUAUAUUUCAACCAUUUGAACUCCAAUUUCAUACAUAAAUGAGCUUCUCCUGCUUUGAGUGAUCUCAAAGAGGUCACUUAGUGCACGAUAAUUGACACCCCAUUCCUCCUUGGAUGCUGCAUUGGGGCCAGUCUAGAGGAAAGACAAUACAUUACACAAGUUUUUAUUGAAAAUAUCAACACAUAUGCCAUGUAGACUAAAACAUAUACAAGUUCAUACCAUUGUGUAUGUCUUGCCCGAACCAGUUUGACCAUAAGCAAAUAUACAUACAUUAUAGCCAUCAAGAACAGAUCGUACCAAGGGUUGAGUGUCAGAAAACACCUCAGCUACAAACAUUUUCCAAGCAUAAUAUGAGUCAAGCAUUAUAAUGAUUUCUUGAAAGAGAUCUAUUCAAGGAUCCAAAUUAUAAAAUAUAAGGAUGAAAAACCUUGAGUAGCAGCUGGGCCAUAGACCUUAUUGAAUUUGAACAACCGAUGACUGUCUUUUCCUUGUUUUGAGGGAUUCACAAUACCGAGCUCCCCAUCUUCACCAAUAUAUUCUAUGGUUGUCUGCUUUCCAUUCUGCCCACGGAGAAAUGGCCUUAUCCGGCAAUACACCCUAAUGUUUCCUAUCCAAGAAAUACAUGCAUCAGCCAAAAGAUGCAUUCAUAUAAAACUAGUCGUGAUUCCAACAGAGUUAAAUUGGGCAUGGAACCUUUUAAAUCUUGAACCUCAUUAUAAAGUCUCCUAUUUUCAGCAAGAACUGCAUGAUAGUUUUCAGAGGCAUCUACUAAUGCUUUUAGCUUUACUCCUGAACAACAGAAAAAUCGAUCUAUGAGAACAUGCUACAUAAAUUUAUAUAGAAUCAGGAGAACUUUGUAGUAACCAACCUCACCUAAGCAUUUAAAAUCCUCUGAAUAGCUCUUCUGUGUUUCCAAUACUUCUUUCUUGAUGGACUCGGAAGUGGACCUCAAUCCCUGAUUGUUUAUUCAAAGUUCCAGUAUAAAACAUGAGCAUUAAAUAGUAUAGUUUGAAAGGUCAAGAUCAAUUUGGUUAAAGCGGACCUGCAAGGCACUGAAUAGAAAAUUCACAAGUCUCAGGUAGCUUUGCUCUUUCUUAUCCCACCUUUGGCCUUCUAACCCAGAAUAAGCCUCAAGUUUAUUUAUCUUAUUCCUUGAAUCGGCUAGGAGCUGCUCAAGUUCCCUUGACCUCUUCUCAAACUCUGCUUUAUCUCCCAUACCUUGCUUUUCCAUUUCUGAGAAAUGUUCUUCAUAUGUCUUCCUGGCUAUUUCCAGUUCUUGCUUCAGAGCAGUAAUUUCGAUAUUAUUUUGAUCCUUCUCUUUGUUGGCUAUUUCAAGUUCUUGCUUCAAAGCUGAAAUUUCAAUGCCACUUUGAUCCUUCUUCUUCUUGGCCAUUUCCAGUUCUUGCCUCAGAACCAAAAUUUUAGAAUCAUUUGGAUCCUUCUCUUUCUUCCUUGCUAUUUCCAGUUCUUGCUUUAAAGCUGAAAGUUCCAGAUGGUAUUGCUCCUUCUCUUUCUUCCGGGCCAUUUCCAUUUCUUGCUUCAGAGAAGAAAUUUCAAGAUUUGUGUCAUCCUUCUCUUUUAUCAGUCUAGCCAUAUCCUCCUCAAGCUUCUUCUUGUCUUCCACAUUGGCCUUUUUAGUCUGAAAUAAAAAGAAAUAAAAUUAAAGACUUCAAAGGUAUCCAUACAACCAAGAAAGCAAUAUUAUUUUUUCUCAGGCAAACAAAAUAUGCACCAUGUCAUCUCAAGCAACUGAUCAACAAUUGCAGCAAAUUAAGAAUAGAAUCAAUUGUGAAUACGCCUUCCACUUCCAUCAUGAAAGGAGAAAUUUGAUAUAUCAGUGGGCAGUCAAACCUCACUAUUUCCAUCCUCAUCUUUAACAUCAUUUAACUUUUGAUUCUUAAUGAACACAAAUCAAGGAUAUCAAACAUAUUAAAGUGGUUGAAAAUUGUGAAAAGAAACACCAGAAUCCAGUAAAUGAAGGAAGAAGCAUUGAGGGAAGGAGAGGAUACCACAGGACUCAAGAUUUUUUUUUUUUUUAUAACCGAAGAACCUUCCAUGGCUAAGCCCUUAGGACUCUCCAUGGGAACUCAAACCUCGGGGUGCUAACCACCCCACAACAACCAGCACCGGGUAAAUUCAGAGUAUCAUCCAUAGUAGGAUUCAAACCCAGGACCAUGUGCAACUUACUAGGACCACACUUCCCAAUGUUCGCCCUAACCAACUAGGCUAUCCUGGCAGGGACCAUAGGACUCACAUAUCUGGCUGCACAUGUUUUCAUGUAAUGUUAACUAAAAUUUUACUAAAUCUUAGACUACCUAAAAGUUGUUUUAUGAAUCCUUUGUUUUAGGUGCAACAAAUUGAACAAUUAUGGGAAGCAAAAAGCAAAAAAUACACAUCGGUAUAUUUUGGAACAGAGAAUAGUCCCUAAAGGAUAUCAGAUACAGGAUGUUUGAAGUAAAAGAUGAAUAACAUAAAAGAGACUUUCUAAUAUCUCAAUUAAGAAAAAUGCUCACAGAUUAUAGCCAUACCUUUAUCUGCUGGAGAUGAUUCAAUACAAUCUGCAGCAAAUAAUUUCAUUUGGUGAAUCCAGUAGUUGUACCAAAUAAACAAAAAGGCAAACCUGACAAUUUAGAAUCUUUCAAUACAACAUAUUUGAAGUACCUGGUUUUCAUCAUUAGUCCCAGUUGCAAGGGUUUCAAGUACUCUGAUUCUCGACUGGUAUUUCUCUUCCCGAGACUUAAAGAGAUUGUUUUGCUGCAGGCACAAACCAAUAGAAAAGAAUUGAUAUGGACUAGACAAUAAAAACCAAUAAAAGAAACAAAGUAAGUAUAUUACAGUUCUUAAGUGUUCUGCUUGAGUUGAUAUUCGCCGCUCAAUUUCCUGCACAACUUUUCUCAAUAGACAUGCCACACGCUGAGGAAAAAAAAACAAAAAAUAAAAAGCAUCCUCAGAUAAGUUUUUUAGCAUUAAAAAUGCAUUUAUAUUAUCAAUAUAUAUAUAUAUAUAUAUAUAUGCCUUAAUUUAACACCAGUUGCCCUCUCAUUGCCAUACGUGAGGUAUCUCUUCAUUCUUCCUUUCAACGCUUUCAUCUAGAAUUCCAUUCACAACACUCAAAAGUGACUGAGUUGGGGCAUUCUGCAAAAAUGAGAUGCUUGAAUGCAUUAAAGAAGCAUAAAACUGAAAAGACCACCUAAAAAAUCCUAAAUCUUGCCCAAUUAUGUCCAUUGACAACAUAAGGUGCCAUAUGACUUACAUCUAAACUGUUAGAUUUCAUCAUUUCUGUAAGCUUAGCAGCAGGAAUAUCCGCAUAGCGUCCUUGUUUCAGUUGAAACACCUCAUGGAACUUGUGUCCCACAUGAUAUAUUAAUGCAGCUGAUGGCUCUACAAAAAGGGGAAAAAGUAAGAUAACAACACUACGUCCAAAUAAAAUUAUCAUUAUUGAAGAGCAUCUGCUAGUUUUGUGUUGUUAGAAUACAAAAAAACUAUCCACUGUCUCAAUAUAGCAGAUCUCACUUCACAACUUCACUAUGGAUAAAAGCUGUUAUCAUAUAUUCAUAUGGCUGCAUUAGAACAGACAAGCACAUAGAGGAAUAGAGUACAAAAAAACCAUACCAGACUUGACAGGACUACGCAAAGCACGUUGAAAUUUGGAUUCUGAAAAACUCUUUUGCCUGUCUUCUCCACAUGGUGUAGGCCCACGCGAAGGAUCAUCCACUUGAGGACCAAUGUUUCCAGAUUUAGAAAAUGAACUACUGAAUGGAAAAUUAUUUCCACAUACAGUUGGUAUAGUGUGUGCUUUAAGUGUUAAAAUGCACUCCAAAACAGUCUUCAUAGAUCCCUGCAACAUAAAAUCAACAUUAUGAUAAAUGCCGAGAGCUCUGGUGAUGCUAAGAAAACAUAUACUCAAAUUCAUUUGAGCAAAUUAAUCAAAAAAAAAUUUGAAAUUCACUACUUCAACUUUGAGAUGUUUGCAAAUUGCUAAGAAAAUAAAUGUAAAUAAACCUACAAUGACUUCAGUGGGAGUACUACUAGUUUGUGUACAUAAUGGAUAGUAAUUCUUAUAAACAAUUGAUAGUAGGUCAUGAAAACAAUUGAUACCUUUUCCAGGUCUGCAAUUUCAAACCCGGGCAUCCCUAAUGCGUCCAAAGCCUCCAGAAACUUUUUAACAUUUUCAUAGCGCAUCCCAGAAGAAUGAUCAUAAUCACGCACCUAAAGUAAAAAAAAAAUGCACAUCAAAACAACAAUUCUAACAUCCAGAGAUGAAAUUCAACACUAACUGCAUCUAAAUGAACAAACCUCACUCACAGAACCAGGUCUCAGUCUGUUCAAAAACCGACAUAAAACAGCACCAUCAAUCAAGCAGGCCCUCAAUUCCUCUACUGAAGCUUUUACUGGCAAAUUUAAAUUAGGAAGCAUGGAAUUUAACCACUCCGCCACAAUGGCUCGCUUCUUGUCUGCAUAAAAGGGAAUGAAAUAAAUACAAAGUUCAGUAAAUUAAGAUGGGAAAAACAAAGGAAGAGAGGAGCAAAAUCACCCUUUCUUCACCUUUAUCAUCAGCAUUAUGAGUUGCCAUUGGUUCAAAAACAUCCCCAUUACCAGAUACUCUGAAACUGCCAAUUCCCCCAUAUUUCUUUGCGUUGUAAUCCAAUGUAGAGUCCAUGAUGAAAUACAAGGGAAGACAUCUAGCUUCAAAGCUCAAAACCUCAAACUACGAAAAAUAAGAAAAAAACCCCCCAGAUUGUUUCAAUAAAAUCCAAAGAAAUCAUUUGCAGGAAGAAGGGAACAAAAAGUUUAUUUAUCUCCAGACUUCCCCAGAAAUGCAACAAUCCUGAAAAGUUAUUAAAAAAAAAAUGUAAUCAUCACCACAACUUUAUUUCACAUUCCCUCAUCAACUCAAUACAUUAAACGAUGUUAUGCAUUAAACCCAUGGUUCAUGCCUGGUAAUGGCAUUAUUUUAAUUUCCAAAGGCAAGAGAAUCAAAUGCUUCUUUUGCAUGGUGAGCACGUAACACAACCCAUUACCAAACACCAACCAACCAUUAAGUCAGAGCUCAAACUCUGACUGGUAGGGAGCCCAAGCAGAAAACGGAAAUACAAAUAUAUUCACCUGCAUGGGUGGAAAAUGAGAGAGACCCAACUCAGAAAAGAUUUCAGCGAUGGCCCCUGGGCUCCUCCUCCAUCUGGUGUAGCUUCAAAAGUUUCAUUGGCAACAAGGAUUUCAAGGAAGAGAAGAGAGGAGAGAAAAUGGUGGAAACAAGAGAAGAAAAAAAGUUUGGAAAAGGCAUAAUGAAUGAAUAAAUAUUACAGAGAGAGGGAAGAAGAUCGAUGGACGGCCGGCCGUUUAAUCCUGGUCAAUCGUGGUUGAAAUGUGUUGAAAUUCAUACGUGGCCACGUACUAUACGGCAAUUAUAUAUUUUUUUUUUAAAUGUAAUAUUAAUAUUUUGAAAGAAAUAUAUUAAUAAAUAAUAAUAAGAUUAUGUUUAAUAUUUGAAUUUAAAACUUAGAGUGUUGAUUUUUGAAAACGUUUCUAGUUUUUUAAUAUUUUAAUAAUAAAAAUUUUAAAAUGUCAUAAAAUCAUUAUUAAACAGGUUCUUAAUUAAGUGAUUAGAGGAGUAUUAAAGGGACUUAAUUUAUUUUGUUGGUUAUAAUUAUUUUUAUAAUAAAAAAUAAUUUAAAAUUUGCCUAGACCAACCAAACUUAACCAAGAUCUAAUUUAAUGUUUUAUAAAUUUUACAAUAUAUUAUUAUUUAUAAUUAUAUAUUUUCAAAUAAUUAUAAAAGAAAAAUGUCAAUUUAAUUGUAUUAUGUAUUAUUUUAUUUUUUUUAAUAAAAAUAAAUUCAUUUUGCAUUUUUAUUAUUCUUAAAAAUAAUGUGUCAUUUGAUAUGAAGUGUAUCAAAAAUAAAAUCAAAAUACUAUCACUAAGUGGAAUUUUCUUUUUUUCCUUUUUUCUUUUACUUUUUUUUUUCUUUUCUUUUUUUUUUUUUUUUGUUAUCACAACGAAAGCUUUGAUGCAAACAUCGUUAAUCAAGAACAAAAGAUAAAAUAAUCAAUAUAAACAGUACACGAGGUUUUAACAUGGUUCGACCAACCAUGCCUACGUCCACGGAUAAGAUAAUCAUUUCACAAUACAAUAAAUAAUAUUACAUGACAGAACCAGAACAUUAGAGAUGACAUAACUAGAUAUAACUAUUGGGUUCUUCAAACAUGUCAUGUUUCCCCACUCUUUGUAUCUCUACCCUACCAUGAGCUCUAUCGCUUCACCAUGUACCUCUUGUUUUUCCUCAUAUCUCUAUUCACCUCAUAUAGUCUUUACAAACUCAUCUUCAAUUCAUAACUUUUUCUCUUUCAUAACCUAGAAUAUUUAUAGACAUAUUUCCAAUAACCUUUCUUAUUUUACAAGGAAGCCUAAUAUCAACCUAAAAAUAUUCUAUAUAAUAUUUUUUUCUACAAAAGAAGAAUAUAUACUAAUUAGGAAUUUGAGACACUUCUUAACAAUCUCCACAUUGGACCAAAUUCCAUAAAGUCAAUCUUCAAUGGCACAAACUUUUUUUUAUUUUUAUACCACGAGAGAGCAAUCAACUCCACCUUCAUUGAAAAUUUCUUUUGUUUUCAUCUUGUGUACUUUGUGAUCUUUUACUUUUCCAGAAAUCUUUAACCUAAGUUUUGAUACCGGUUUGUUGUGUCGGCGAAAGCUUUGAUGCAAUCAUCGUUAAUCAAUAACACAAAGAUAAAAUAAUCAACACAAACGAUAUACUAGGUUUUAAUGUGGUUCAACCAACCAUGUUUAUAUUGACGUAUAAGAAAUGAUUAUUUCACUAUACAAUAGAGAACAUUACAGAUGAUAAAACUAGAAUAUUAUAGAUGAUAUAACCAAAUACAAUUAUUGGGUUCCUGAAACAUCUUAUAUUUUCCCAUUCUUUGUAUCCCUACUCUACCACAAGUCUUCUCGUUCUAUUGGUACCUCUCGUUCUUCCACACAUUUCCCCUUAUGACCUAAAAUAUUUAUAAAAAUAUUUCCAAAGAACCUUCCUUAUUCUAUAAGGAAAUCUAAUAUUACAAUAAUAUAUUAACCUAAAAGUAUUCUAUAUAAUAUUUUUUUUUACAAAAGAGAAAUAUAUAUUAGGAAUUUAGGACACUUCUUAACAAUAUUAAUUUUAAUAUAACUUGAAUUUACCUUAUGUUUGAAAAUAUGAUAUUAUGAUACUAGAUUAAAAUGAAUUGAAAAAAUAUUUAUUAAUUUAGAUUGGGAUCUUCAAUGCAAACCCAACUUAAUCUAAUCUAAAUUCAACCUUAUAAUAGAAUCAAAUUUAAAUUCAUGAAUUUGAAUAGAAGCUAAACUUAAUAUUAAAUUAAAUUAAAGUUUUAUAAUCCAAGCAAUAUCUUUUGUUUACUUUAUACUCUUAAGAAAACAUUAUUUUUUUUUAUCAACUAAAUUUAUUUUCCUAAUAAGCCAUUUUAAUUUCCACAUUGGACCAUGAAAUAAGAUAAAAAAAAAAAAAAUACUCCUUUACGAUAGGACAUUUUGUUAAAAAAUGGUGGUUGUAAAAAUAAUUUGGGUGUAUAAUAGUUUAAAAAAUAUUUUUAAAUGUAUGGCUAAAAUGCCAAUGAAAAAUCGUGUUUUAAAAAGACAACUUGGCUUACAUCACAUUGAAUUUAUCUUUUGUAAAAACCAUUUCAAUAUAAAUUUUAAAAUUUAAAGUUAAAUUUUUUAAAAUAUAACUUUUAUUCAAUACUUUUUCAACUACUUAUUUUAAAAACAAUUAUGUAAAAAUAUAAUAUUUUUUUCCAAAUCCAUGACGUUUAUAACCACACAAGGAAAAUAAUUUUUUUUUUUAAAUAAUCAUAUCAUCAAUUCAACUAAUUUUUAUAAUAAUUCCUAUAAAUUUUUAUAUUUAAUAAAUAGAAACCAUCUGCUUGCGACGUCAAUAUAGAGCAUGGGAUGUGAAAUCAGUUGAUUGAAGGUUUAUAAUAAUUCUCAUAAAUUUUUAUAUCUAAUAAAUAGAAACCAUCUGUUUGUUCGGAGAAUGGAAUGUAGAAUUCAUCAGCUAUUGAUUGUGGUUAUAAAUUUAUCAGAUAUAUAUUAAGUAGGUCAGUGGGUGCAAAACCCCAACUCAAAACUGGUCUAACAGUCCAAAAAUCCCAAUCUCUUAGACAACCUCUGGCUGUGGGAACCUACAUGAAACUUAUAAACAAUCUUUGCUAUAUGUUUUGUUCAGUCUUGGAGAGUUGAGACUUGAUGAAACCCAAUAAUGAUGAAAAUUGGCUUUUCUCCCUGGGCUCAUCUUUAAUCUCAGCACCACAAGCAAAAUUGUAGGCAAACACCCUACACGUAUGAAAAACAAAGAACAAAAAGCCAUAUAAUACUUAAUGAAUUAAUCAGUAAUUAGAAGAUGCUAUCCUUUAUGUUUCCACCAGUAAGCAGACUGAAAAAAGGAUCUUCCUUGUUUUCAUUGUCACUUUUGAUUUCCUCAACAGGGAAAAAGGGUGUGGUAGCUGCUGAUACUGUAGGUCUCUUCACGGAGACAAAAGCCACUUUAUUGCUUGAAUCAAAUUUACGUUUUAAAGGAUUUGAACUCGGAAAUGAGCUUGUGUGUGGAAGCAAGCCUUGUUCUGGGAGGAGAUUCUCAAUAGAGGAUCCUUCAACUUCUGAACCAUUGCUAACUUGCACACUAUCUUCAACCCGCUUCCCAUCAUCACUUUCAAGGGAAGGAUUCACCAGUAGAGAUUUGUCCUCACUGACCAGAGUUGGACCCUCUUCUGAACUGUGGAGCAUGUCUGUCUUCUUGGAGCCAAGUUCAUCAUCUACACAAAAGACAAAUGUUACAGAACUGGGCAAGAGAAAUAGUAGCACCAGAAUACAAAGCAACAGCAAGAAACCAGAGGUUAAGGCAGCUGCAAAUAAAUUAUGAGAAUUGGAAAUACUCAUUUGCAGCAUGCUAGCUUGUUUAGCAACAAAAUAUAUAAAACUAGCACCAAAAAUCCAAUUGACAAGCCUCGAGGAAAUUUUCCAUCCAGUCAAAGUGUCCAAGUUGCAGGAAAUCAAUAGCUUCAGCAUAACAACAGGGCUCUGUUGUUUCAAGAAUAAAUGUUAACUUCCUAAACGUCUCAAAUGGAACCCAACACAGCAUCAUGCCUCUGGAAGCAACUUUUCAUAGCCUCCAGAAAAGUGAGCUCAAGCUUGAAUUCAAGAGGACGAAAUUGAAUCUUCAGCUAUAAACUAAAACAUGAUGUAGCUCACUUUAGCUUCUGUCAAGUCUAUGUCUAAAGUAAAUCAUCAUAUGUCUGAGGAUUAAAUAGAUGGUUAAACAGGAAAAUUGAAUCAUUUUUUACCCUAAUGAAUAUUCUUGAUCAUGAAAUAGAUGGAACCAUUCUUAUCCAAUGGUCAUUGGUAAUGUAUCUGACAUUAAUCAGUACUUAUAAAAAUAUGAUAGAAUAAGUAAAAAUGUUGAAUAUAAUGUAUUUAUAGUAUAUUAUCUUUCCUUGUUAAUAUAGGUCACAUGUAUGGUAGUUAGGACUCCUAGCCUUGUAUAUAUAUAUAUCUCAAUUGUAAGUAGACAUUACAUGAAUGAGAAUUAAGGUUUUUCUCCUUUCUCUCUCUCUCUUUCAACAUGGUAUCAGAGCCAAGGAAGAAAACCUAAUUCUUUCCUGUUUCCCGUGUCAUCAACUCCGGGAAACCUUCCGGUGACUGUGUUUCUUUCCGGUCACCCUCCCCAUCUCCCAACACUUUCCGGUCAGUCGGAUCAUCGUUAGAAACCACUCACCGCCGGCAAAAUUUUCCGGCAAAUUUUCCGGCGAACUUUCCCGGCGACCUAUUUUUCCGACACUGACCAUACCAGAAGGAGCGCCUGGAGGAGAUCUCCAACUUUUGUGAAGGCACCAGCAUCAAAAGAGGAUCCACGCGCCGGCGACUGCAUCUCACGCGCCGGCGACUGCAUCUCACGCGCCGGCGCGUGAGGGCGCGUGAGGCCUUUUCCGGCGACGCGCCUCCUCCUCCAGCCUCGCCUGCCGCCGACCAGCAUCCCUACCUACCUGGUUCUCCCAUCCGAGCCCUGCACGUACCUCUUUUGGGGAUUUUUGUCUCCGUCAGCCCUCCAAACAACCUUUCCGGCGAAGUUCCGGCUACUUUCUCUCCACCCCAAUCCCUGCACGUGCCUUGGGAAGUGUUCAUCUACCUUUCUGGUGGUACCACGUCGCGAUCUGAGGCCGUCUCCCUUUUUCGGUGGUGCCACGCCGCAAUCUGAAGCCGUAUUAGGGCUCUCUUCGAUCCAAAUACGUGAAUAUGACCACCAAAAAUCAGAUCUUUACCUCUGUUAUCUCUGGAUCUCCUAUGAUUACCUCAGAGAAAUUGGUUGGCAGUGAAAAUUAUCUUUCCUGGUCUGCCUCUGUUGAACUUUGGUUUAUGGGUCAAGGAUAUGAGGAUCACUUGGUUUCCCAGGAGGCAGAUAUCCCUGAGGUUGACCGCGUACAGUGGAGGAAGAUAGAUGCACAGUUAUGUAGUGUAUUAUGGCAAUCGGUUGAUCCCCGGAUUCUUCUUCAUCUUCAGGCCUAUAAAACUUGUUUUAAAUUUUGGACUCAAGCCAAAGGAUUAUACACGAAUGAUAUCCAGCGUCUUUAUAAGGUGGCUUCUGCUAUUGUCCAUCUCAGCCAACAGGACUUGGAUCUAUCUACUUAUAUUGGUCAGAUUGCCUCUCUUAAGGAGCAGUUCUUGACUGUGAUGCCUCUUACUCCUGAUGUUGGGGCUCAACAAACACAGCUUGACAAGUUCUUCAUGGUCCUUACUCUUAUUGGCCUCCGUCCGGAUCUUGAGCCUAUUCGUGAUCAGAUUCUUGGUAGUUCAUCAGUUCCGUCCUUGGAUGAUGUGUUUGCUCGCCUCCUCCGUAUCUCGUCCACUCAGACUUUGCCAUCUGAUAGCGCUUCAGAUUCUUCUGUGUUAGUUUCUCAAACUACCUCUCGAGGAGGACGCAGUGGUACCCGAGGUAGAGGCCAACGUCCUCAUUGCACCUAUUGCAAUAAACUUGGCCACACUCGCGAUCGUUGCUAUCAGUUACAUGGAAGACCUCCUCGCACUGCCCAUAUGGCCCAGUCCUCUGAUUCUCCGCUGCCUCAGCCUCCGAGCUCCUCCGCAUCUCAGACAUCUCAGGCUUCUAUUGCCUCUGUUGCCCAGCCUGGUAAUGCCUCUGCCUGCCUUACCCACACAUCUUCUCUUGGACCCUGGAUUCUAGAUUCUGGAGCAUCUGAUCACCUAUCUGGUAAUAAAGAUAUUUUCUCCUCUAUUACUACUACCUCUGAUUUACCUACUGUUACUUUAGCUAAUGGUUCUCAAACUGUGGCUAAAGGUAUUGGUUUGGCCCUUCCUCUGCCUUCUCUACCUCUCACUUCUGUCCUUUAUACUCCUGAAUGUCCUUUUAAUCUUAUUUCCAUCAGCAAAAUCACUCGUACUCUUAAUUGUUCUAUUACCUUUUCUGAUAAAUUUGUGACCUUGCAGGACCAGAGUACGGGGAAGACGAUUGGCAUAGGACGUGAGUCUCAAGGCCUCUAUCACCUCACCUCAGAUUCAUCUCCUGCAGUUUGCAUUUCCACUGAUGCUCCUCUCCUCAUUCACAAUCGUCUGGGCCACCCUAGUCUCUCCAAGUUCCAGAAGAUGGUUCCUCGUUUUUCCACUUUGUCGUCGCUUCCGUGUGAGUCAUGUCAGCUUGGGAAACAUACUCGUGUCUCGUUCCCAAAGCGUUUGAAUAAUCGGGCAAAGUCUCCUUUUGAGCUUGUCCACACUGAUGUUUAGGGUCCUUGUCGGACUGCGUUUACUUUAAGAUUUCAGUAUUUUGUCACUUUCAUUGAUGACUAUUCUCGAUGUACUUGGUUAUUUUUAAUGAAAAAUCGAGCUGAGUUAUUUUCUAUUUUCCAGAAAUUUUAUACUGAAAUCCAAACCCAGUUCAAUAUUUCUAUUCGUGUGUUACGCAGUGACAAUGCCAAGGAAUAUUUUUCAGCCCAAUUUACUUCGUUUAUGUCUCAUCAUGGGAUUCUUCAUCAGUCUUCUUGUGCUCAUACUCCUCAACAAAAUGGGGUAGCUGAACGCAAGAAUCGACAUCUUGUUGAGACAGCUCGUACUCUCCUCCUCUAUAGUCACGUUCCUUUUCGUUUUUGGGGGGACGCUGUUCUUACCGCUUGUUAUUUGAUUAAUCGUAUGCCCUCCUCUGUCUUACACGAUCAGAUUCCUCACUCCCUUCUUUUCCCUGACCAACCACUUUAUUUCCUUCCUCCUCGUGUCUUUGGUUGUACUUGCUUUGUUCAUAUUCUCACUCCUGGACAGGACAAGCUUUCCGCCAAAGCCAUGAAGUGCCUCUUCUUGGGAUAUUCCAGACUUCAGAAGGGUUAUCGUUGCUAUUCCCUUGAGACUCAUCGAUACUUUAUCUCCGCUGAUGUCACCUUCUUUGAGGACUCACCAUUCUUUUCCACCACUUCUGAGUCUCUUCCUGUUUCUGAAGUCUUGCCCAUUCCCAUUGUCUUCCCACCUGAUGCUAUGCCCCCUCGACCACUUCAGGUUUAUCAUCGUCGCCCUCGUGUCGUUGCUCCUCUCCCUUUUCCUGAGGCACCUGCUGACUCACUUCCUAUCCCUUCGACUUCACCUGCCCCGGCUCUGCCUUCUCCUAAUGACUUACCCAUUGCUGUUCGAAAAGGUACUCGCUCUACUCGUAAUCCUCAUCCUAUUUACAAUUUUUUGAGUUAUCAUCGAUUAUCUUCACCCUAUUCUGCUUUUGUUUCUGCUAUAUCCUCUGUUUCUCUUCCAAAGAGCACCCAUGAAGCUCUUUCCCAUCCAGGCUGGCGACAGGCAAUGGUGGAUGAAAUGGCUGCUCUGCACUCUAAUGGCACUUGGGAUCUUGUUGUUUUACCCUCUGGUAAAUCUACAGUUGGUUGUCGUUGGGUUUAUGCAGUUAAGGUUGGUCCUGAUGGUCAGGUUGAUCGCCUUAAGGCCCGCUUAGUUGCUAAAGGCUAUACUCAAGUUUAUGGUUCUGAUUAUGGUGACACAUUCUCACCUGUUGCCAAGAUUGCUUCUGUCCGCUUGCUUCUCUCCAUGGCUGCUAUGUGUUCUUGGCCUCUUUAUCAGUUGGAUAUUAAAAAUGCCUUCCUUCAUGGUGAUCUUGCCGAGGAAGUUUAUAUGGAGCAACCUCCUGGUUUUGUUGCUCAGGGGGAGUCUGGUUUAGUGUGCAGGUUACGCCGUUCUCUAUAUGGCUUGAAACAAUCUCCUCGAGCAUGGUUUAGCCGUUUUAGUUCUGUUGUUCAAGAGUUUGGCAUGCUUCGCAGUACAGCAGACCAUUCAGUUUUUUAUCAUCAUAACUCCUUGGGGCAGUGUAUUUAUCUGGUUGUUUAUGUGGACGACAUCGUCAUUACAGGCAGUGAUCAGGAUGGUAUUCAGAAACUAAAGCAACAUCUUUUUACCCACUUUCAGACCAAAGACUUGGGGAAACUCAAGUAUUUCUUGGGAAUUGAGAUAGCUCAAUCCAGUUCUGGUGUGGUCCUUUCCCAAAGGAAGUAUGCUUUAGACAUCCUGGAAGAAACCGGUAUGUUAGACUGUAAACCGGUAGACACACCUAUGGAUCCGAAUGUCAAACUUGUACCAGGACAGGGGGAGCCUUUAGGAGACCCUGGGAGAUAUCGACGGCUCGUAGGUAAAUUGAACUAUCUCACCAUUACUCGUCCAGACAUUUCUUUUCCUGUGAGUGUUGUUAGUCAAUUCCUACAGUCACCAUGUGAUAGCCAUUGGGAUGCCGUAAUCCGUAUUCUUCGAUAUAUCAAAAGUACACCAAGCCAAGGUGUAUUGUACGAGAACAGAGGUCAUACUCAAGUUGUUGGUUACACAGAUGCAGAUUGGGCUGGCUCACCCACAGAUAGACGUUCCACUUCAGGGUACUGUGUUUUUAUUGGAGGUAAUCUAAUAUCUUGGAAGAGUAAGAAACAAGAUGUAGUGGCCAGAUCUAGCGCUGAAGCCGAGUAUCGAGCUAUGGCUUUGGCAACAUGUGAACUCAUAUGGUUGAGACAUCUUCUUCAGGAGUUGAGAUUUGGAAAGGAUGAACAGAUGAAACUCAUCUGUGAUAACCAGGCCGCAUUACAUAUUGCAUCCAAUCCAGUCUUUCAUGAAAGGACCAAGCAUAUUGAAGUUGACUGUCAUUUCAUUAGAGAGAAGAUCGCAUCAGGAUGUGUUGCUACAAGUUUUGUCAAUUCAAAUGAUCAACUAGCAGACAUCUUUACUAAAUCUCUCAGAGGCCCUAGGAUUAAAUAUAUUUGUAACAAGCUUGGUGCAUAUGACGUAUAUGCUCCAGCUUGAGGGGGAGUGUUGAAUAUAAUGUAUUUAUAGUAUAUUAUCUUUCCUUGUUAAUAUAGGUCACAUGUAUGGUAGUUAAGACUCCUAGCCUUGUAUAUAUAUAUAUAUCUCAAUUGUAAGUAGACAUUACAUGAAUGAGAAUUAAGGUUUUUCUCCUUUCUCUCUCUCUCUUUCAACAAAAAAAAAAAAAAAAUAUAUAUAUAUAUAUAUAUAUAUAUAUAUAUAUAUAUAUAUAUAUUAAAACCAAGAAAAAUAAAUGAACUUGGAAAUCCCUCUUUUGAUAACAAGCUCAAUAACAUAUUCAUAUCAAAACCUAAGGCUGAAACUGACUUUUCCACAAGAGAAAAGCAAGGAGAGAGGGAAGGAAAAGGAAAUAAAGAACAGUAAUUGUUUUGCUCACCUGCAAGUAAAGCCUCAAUACUUUGAUAUUGUAUGGUUGAUGUUCCCAGAGAAACAUCUUCUCUGGGAUCCCCAUCUAGAUUUUUCAUCUCGAUUUUCUUGAUCCUCUCAAGCAAUACAAACUUAUCCGCUUCCCACACACAUUCAAGGGUGACAAAUUCUUCAUUUGUUGGAUAAUACUCCCUAAAAAACUGCACCAAUUAUCCAGAGAGAGAGAAAGAAGAACCUAAUUUUGAGUCAAAGGGUAACAGCAAAAAGAUAUUUACCAAAAGAAUUUGCCAAAUGUAUAGAGCUGCAAAACCAACCUCAAUUCCUGCUUGAGUCAAUUUUACAGACUGCUCCUUUUGGGAGAGAGAAGAAACCAUGUUGAAGACAGAAACAACAUCAAGUAGUGUCUGGAAAAAAAACAAAGAGCAAUCCUAAGUUUUGCCAUGGUGUCAACUAAAACAACGCACCAAGUAAUUCAGAUUGUCCUAUUAGGCACACUAAAUUAAGACACCAUACAGUCAUCCUUCCAACAAUGGCCUAUUCCUAAGAGUGAAUGGUAGUAAGCAAAUGCAAACAUUGGUGAAAAGAAAGCAUUUGUCCAAUGAGCUACAUCAAAGUCCCAAAUAACAAGGACAGACUUAUAUCUGUCCUUGCAACAUUUGACACCUUGAUUCCAAGUAAGAUUUUGCCACCAUCUCUUUGUCCAUCCAAUUUUUAGGGGGUGUUGCUGUGUCAUAUGCUUUGUAUCAAAACAAGGCACCCAGGCCCUCUUCAUACAACAUACAAUUUUCACCCUCUUGUUAUGUUGGCACUAGGAUGAGGCCAUCAGCUAGACCAUUGAGAUUGAUCACCUUAUUGCCAUAAACUAACAAGAUUCGAAAACCAAUUCAGAUUUUUUUUUUUUUUUUUUUUUGGCUAAGCAAAAACCAAUUUAGAAAUUUUAAUUCUUCCUCAAAAUGAAAGCAUACUUGCUGAACCAAAACUCGAAGGCGAGCAAGAAGAGCCAAGAUUGUUAGAGAGAAUCCCAUGAAAAAUGACCGAGCAAGCAAAGUAGAUAUCUCACUGUAGAAUAGUUAAGAAGAAAAAAUUAAUAAUUUAAUUUUCCCAAUUCAUCCCCACAUGAUCAAACCAAUAUUCUAAUACAAUGAUGAUGAGCAUGCAACCACUCAAAAUAGGAUGGUUUUAACAAGCCAAGACAGACUGAUAUUUGGCCAGUUUGCCUCAAGAUGGCAGAAGAAAUUGCAUCUAAAAAAAAGGUGCAAAACAUAAGAUAGAAAAAUCCAACUAUAUUUGAAGAGUGGAAAAGAUCAAAAGAGUGCCCUUUUCUUUUUCUUUUUCUACGAUCCUUGUAAGCAAAGGAAAAAAAAGGCACGCACACAAACAAACAAAGAGACAUGGUGGCCAACUGAUUAGGUCCAGAAAACCUAUCCCAGAAAGAUAUCUAAUUACUGGACUUGAAAAGGAAAUGGAAAUAAUUAAAACCUAGAGACCUGCAAAUAAUAUAGCGAAACAAGAAAUGGCAGAACAAAAAGAAAAUUUGAUGAACCAGAAAUUAAAUCUGGCAGAAAAGAGGAUCAUAGAAUUUUUUAGUGAUAAAAAACUAAAAAGACCCAGACCAUGCUAUAUGCCUUAAAAAAGAAAUAUAUAUGAUAAACCAAUAUUGCAUUACAAUUGUAUACCUUUAAACUAUACUUAAAGGCUUAUAUUUUGGAGAAAUACAGUUUCUGAUGAAGCUCAUAUUUUGGAGAAAUACAGUUUCUGAUGCAAACAAGUCUACUAAAACUACCAGGUAAGUAGAAAGACAGCUACACCGUUAUGAUGGGAAAUGAUUGGUAUAGCCCUUGUUUAGGAUGUGGUAAAAAAGAUGUGCUAAUUUAUAAGUCACUUCCACAACCAAUUCAAUCAAGUCAUUUUGAGAUCUAAGAAAACUAAUCAAAUGUCCAAAUUAGUUCUAUUAGUAUCACAAAAAGUCCCAUAACAAUAACAAAUUAACCAACUAAUGAAGGAUACAUAGCUGCCUUCAACAUCGGUUCCACCAUCUGCAACAGAAACAGAGAAAACAUUAGGAAGAGUAAGCACAACCUAAGGACUUAGUGGUUUCCUCACUACACAAUAUAUGGGAGAUUGUGUAAUCUAGCGUAUCUGAAGCUGCAUUGCAAGUAGCUGCCUCCUAGAUUUGACAUAAUAAAAAUACUGAUCUGAUAUAUGUAUCUGAUAUAUGGUAGCACUUGCACCAAUGUACCCUUUUCAAAACCACAGAAGUCAUAUUAGAAAAAUCUAACUUUUCCGAUCAAAGAGGCUUGUAUCAGAAGACAGAUUGUUGAAAUACCAAUUUGCAUGAUUAUACAAGGUGGCUAAAUGGUUGAACAGGAAAGACCAGCAAACACUGCACUUGCAUUUGGAUCAAGAAAAAGAAAGAAUCUAUUCAAAGACAUUCGGAUUCCAAUUGUAUUCAUUUAACAAUGUCAGCAAGGUUAAUCUUAGUUUAAAAUGCUAAAAAUAUCCCAAAGAAGUUAGGUAAGUUUGGAUUAGGGCAAGAAUGCACUACUGUGUCCCUUCUCCAAAAUUACAAAGCAUCUAACAUCAACAUUUUCCACUCCCAUGUGCCAAUUCUGGUGAAUAAUAGGGCUGUUUUUACUCCCCUUGGAAUUGAAAAUCCUGUAUUUACUAUCUUUGUAAUUUUUUUCUCCUUUUUUCUUAUGGAAUCUUUGUCCUUCUUAGUGUAUCCCUUUUAAAUUCAAAAGAAAUUUUCUUGUUUUCUAUUAAAAAUUUAUUGGCUGACAGUAAGCCAGAUUUCCUGGUGAGGUUGUACUGUGAUGAUAUCAUGUCAAUGUCACAACAAUAUGGCAUUUUUCUUCCUUUCCUCCCCCAUCUUCUUCAUUGAUACUCCCUCUACCAACACUUAGACCCUUGACUUUUCAGAUUAUUACACUUGUUCAGAGCUCAGAAAAAUGCAUGAAAAGCUGCUUUUGCAGUUCUUUCAGUGUGACCUGAAUAGUAAAAAAGGCUAAGUUGGGAUCAUGGCUGCUGAUGCCAUACUCAAGACAUAUCAUACAUAUGAGUGAGAACCCUAGGAGUACAAAUAUCUCUAAAUAAAAAAGUACACAUGGCAAACUGCAAUGGAGUAAUGCAUUAAGGAACUUAGUGAUAUCAUAGAAAAAGAAAAGUAUGUUAAUGACGAAUCAAGCUGACCUUUCCUUAACUGAGGGAGAUGUGACUGCUGAAGAAACAAUCAAAUGUGAAAAAGGAAGAAACAGGAUAUAAGAGGGAGGAAGAAAACAAAGAACAUACUUCAGAUAGUAAACGUGCAGCUCCCAGAAGCCGCUCCAUAAAAUUAUAUUUACCACCAUCGCCUUUUCUCUUCUUUAAACUGCAUAGAUAUAAAUAAAUAAAUAGAUAAGUGAAAAAACAAGCAAACAUGUGUGAGCAUAUGUAUGUACACUCAGAAACUUAUGAACAUCCUUUUGCUUCAAAGUACAUUAUUUAAAUCUCAACAUAGACAUUUACCCCUAUCAAAUAGUGAGUAAAUUAGAUGGGGAAAAAAUGAGGACAAACAUAGACUUCAGUUCAAAAGAGAACCAAACCAUCCCUCUGUAAAGCUACCACGUGAUGGUUUGAGAUAUUUGUGAUACUAUGCCAAAGCCCCAAUGUUAAAGGCAAUGUAGAAAUAGAUGGUCAAUCAAUUCUCCACUUCUCAUGCAUAAAAUGCACCAAUGAAGACUGAGAGACUUGUAGGAUCUGCUUAAUUGUAGGAUGUCAUUGGUGUUUACCUUUUUGUGUACCACUAACCUAGCAAAGGCCUUAACCUUUGAAGGGGCUUUUGAUUUUCAAACAAAUUUGGUCAAAAGGAACGGGAGUGGACUUGAGAAAUUGGACAAGGUCAAGAAAAAGAUUUUGUUGAGAAUAAACCUAAGAAUAUAAGUCUUUUAAGAUUUUUAAUUUCCAUGUCAAUGAAAUUGCGACGAAAGUUAAAAUUCUAAGAAAUUGGAGAGGAAUUAUCAAGGACAACUAAGAUGGUGAUAUUUUUUUUUUUUGAUAAAUAUCACGAAUAUAUUAAAGGGCAAAGGCCACCAAGCAUACAGGACGUAUACAAAUCUGCCUCAAAACGAGAGCACAAAAAAACACGCACCCUUACCCUCCCUUAAGUGGCCGCUAGCCACUCCAAAAAACCUAAGAGUGAAGAGGACUCCUCUCCAAUAUACACCCUAGCCCAACUCCACAAGGUACAAACAAAAUAAUUUUUGAGUUUCUGUAUAUUUAACACCCCUCCCUUUAAAGCUAACCUAUUCCUUUCCUUCCAUACCGUCCAAAAAAUACACAACGGGAUAGAAUUCCAAUUUUUUUUCCUCUUUUUCCCCACAAAGGGGCCCCUCCAACUGAAUAACGCCUCCUUCACCAACUCUGGGAACACCCACUGAACCCCCACAAGGGCAAAAAUAAUUUCCCAUAAGGCCCUUACCACUAUACAAUGUAAAAGAAUGUGAUUUACAUUCUCCUCUUCACAACCACACAAAAAACAUCGGUUAGGAAACUGCCAGCCCCAUUUUUGAAGCCUAUCCAGGGUGAGAAUCUUCCCCCACGCGGCUUCCCAAGCAAAAAAAGCCGCUUUGGUUGGGACCUUGUGGUGAUAUUUUUCAAUGUGACAACUCUAUAGAGACCUGAAAAUUGUGAACACAAAUGGUUAUCACCCCACCACAAAUCUUCUCAGAAUUGAAUUCUCUCCCCGUUACCCACCACAACGCAAGAAUAUGAGGAAAAUUCCUGGCAGACUUGUGCAAUAGCCUUCUAAGGACAUCCUGUGACCAUCUAACCAGAAUGUUGGAGUCUCAUCCAUUAGGAUGUGUCCUAUAAAUGCUUGAAAUAACUUGAUGUCAUAGGCCACAAUUUUCCUUAGGGAACCUGUAUAGCAACUUCCCUAAAUGAGCACGAUUUCUCAAGGAAGUCUUCUCAAUUCCCAGAACUCCAAACUCCUUUGGCCUACACACUAUGUACCAACUAAUAAUAAUCUUUUUUACCCUCCCCAAUCUUUGACCAAAGAAAAUCUCUUUACAUUUUCUUGAUCUUUAAUCCAUUUGAUUUUUCAAAGCAUGAAUUCCAAACCAAAUGAACAUAGGAGUAUUUACUUGGAUGAGUUUUCAUAUAUGUACAAUAUUCUUCUCUAAAUUGAUUCUUUUUUACUUCUGGAAAUGCAGAGAAAAACCAUUUUCUUUUUUCUUUGUUAUUUUCUAAUCAAAAUUCAAAUAUAAUGUAUUCUUUAUCAAUUGUAAAUUUUCUUAAUGUUAUAAAUGAUUUUUUUUUUUGUUUUGGAGCAUCAUGUUGAAUUUGAGACUAAGUUGGAGAUAAUCUUGGGCACUGAUUUUCCUAACAAAACGGUCUUGGAAUAUCAUGUUGAAAGUUUACUCCUCAUAGUUCUUGGUUUCUAGUUCUAGCCAAGGUAUAACUAAAAGAAGAUCUUGAGGAAGAAGUUCUUGAUUUAUAUUAUUGACUCCUAGAUAUUAGAGAAGUGCAUUCAAUGGUUACUAAUCCUUCUUUGUCUUCAAGUUGUUUUCAAUUUUAAGAGUGAUUAAAUUUUUGAAGUCCCAUUUUAAUGAGGUUGCCAACUGUUCUAAUGGUUACCACAUAGGAACCAUUGUUGAUUCAUGUUCAUCGUUUGCUUGGAAUAUCAAAGUUUCUCUUUAAGGGAAGAAACCAAACAUUUAGGAUAGAGAGAGGUUGUCAUAGCUUUCUAAUAUAUUGAUUUGUCAAAAAGUAGAUUCACUCUAACUCACCAAGAACUAUUCAAGAUAAGAUCUGUUGAUUUGCCAAAAAGCAAAUUCCCUUUAACUCGUUAAAGAGUUGUUCAAAAUAAGAUCUGUCGAAAGCACAUUCUCUUUAGCUUGAUGAAUUUCAACACAAGCUUAAAACAUUUUGAAGUUUGUUACUCUGAUUAUUAAAAGACCCUCUGCAAGGAAACCAUUGACAAAAAAAAUUAAAAAACCUCUUUGAAAUCAAACCUUAUUAUCUCUUCUCCCCUUAUAUAUAUAUAUAUAGAUUUCUUUCGUUGUAUACCUUUCAUAUUCCAUACUUCUCAACUGAUUUGUAAACUCUGUAAUCAAGAUCUUUGUAAGUCAAGUUUUUUUCAAAUAUUUUGUUUUUUUCAAGUAUUUGUUCCUAUUAUUAUUUUACUCUUUUUGUUUUUAUUAUGGUUUUACUAUUUUUACCUUGUUCAAUUUUACUCUAUUGUUUAAUUAUAAAGAUCCUGAGUAAAUGGUAUCAGAGCCAUAAGUUUUAUUUAGUUUAAAUUAAGUUGAAACUUUAAUUAAAUUAAACUAAGGAAUAGUGUUGAUUAGCCCAUCAAGCCAAGAUAUAAGGGGUGAUCGCAAAGAUAGUCUUACUAGACUUUGGAAUUAGUGAAACAAAGGUAUAACAAGCUUUAAAAUAAAUGAGUACUCUAUUGAGAAGGCUCGCACAUAAUAAGGGUACUAAUAGUUUCUCUAAAAUCGAUAAAAAUAUUAGCUCUCUAAAAACUUCUUCAAGACUAGAUAAUCCCAUGUAUCAACAAGGUAGCGCUUAUUUUAAGGGGCUACUUAUGGAUGCUAAAAGUAACAUUUGAAGGUCAAAUGCAACUUCUAGGAGUGUUUGGG
rnacentral:lncRNA from 1 species